UUUGAAAUUUGAUUUUUUUCAGGGGCAAAAGGAGCCUCUGCAUUGUUGUCAAAUAUGUAAAUAGCAUGUUUUUGCAGGUGCUAAAAAACAGACUCUGAGUGUGUGUGUGUGUGUGUGUGUGUGUGUGUGUGUGUGUGUGUGUGUGUGUGUGUGUGUGUGUGUCUGUGUUUGUGUGUGUCUGUGUGUGUGUAUCCUGCAGUACUCUGUACUCCUGCAGUGGCCAAAACGACUUUUAAGAAUGUGGAUAUUUGGGUCAUCUUUGGCGCCCCCUAGAACGUAAACCAUGGGGUGCAGCGGCAUGAUUUUUACAACUUUGAAUGGCCAUGGGAUGUAGAUCGGCUUGAGCAAAUUUGGUGUUGGUGGGAAGAAAGCCUUAGGAGGAGUUAGCCACAUUCCAAUGUGUGCGAAUCUGCAAAAAAUGCGAAAUAGCCCUUUAACCGUACAUUUUACAGAUACGUGCCCAUUGACUUUUUCGUAGAUCUUAUUGAGAUACACGUGAUUGUCAAAUUUUGGGUCAAUAUGACAAAGCGUAUAGGCGUGACACUCAACAAUGUGUAUUUUCACCUUAGGGGACAAGAAAAAAUUGACUUUUUUCUCCUGCCAUGUGGGGGCGCUCUUUUGGGGAGUAAAAAUUCCUUCACAAAUGUGUUGAUGGCUGGACAUUGCAUCAUCCUAGAGAACUUGGAGGCCAGUGAGGACAAAAAUAAAAAGUUAUAAGACUUUUAAGACUGUGGAUUUUUGGGUUAUCUUUGGCGCCCCCUAGAACGUAAACUGUGGGGUGCAGCGUCAUGAUUUGUACAACUUUUAAUGGCCAUGGGGUGUAGAUUGGCCUGAGCAAAUGUGGUGCCGGUGGAACUAAUGCCUUCGGAGGAGUUAGCGAAAUUCCAAUGUGUGCAGAUCGGCAAAAAAUGCGAAAUAACCCUCUAACUGUACAUUUCACAGAUGCGCCCGCGCUGACUUUUUCGUAGAACGUAUUGAGAUACACGUGUGUGUCAAUUUUUGUGUCAAUAUGACAAAGCGUACAGGCGUGACAGUCAAUAGUGUGAAUUUUCGCCUUAGGGGGCGCUAUGGAGCCAUUUUGCAUUUUAUUGUUUGGGCGACUUCAGAAUAUCGAAUUUUUCACCAGGCCCGGUCGUCCUGCCAAAUUUCAUGAGUUUUCGCCAGUGGGAAGUGGGCCAUUUUCCAGUUUAAAGCGGAGGAAAAAUAAUAACUAGGACCCCGUUGGGGCACUGGCGGGCCCGAGCUGUGUCGCGUCCCCCCCCCAACGCGCUGCCUCCCCGUCCCAUUUGUGUCCUCUGGCUAUCGCCCUCUUUGGUAACGCCCAUCACUGCAAAGACCCUUUUCCUUCAUCGGCGUUUGCUGUUCUGCACCAACUGCCUGCUUCAGGUUUGGAUGGAGCUUCAUGGUUGUCUUUUGGAGAAAUGAGCAGUCAAGUUGUGUUUGAAAUUAGAUUUUUUUCAGGGGCAAAAGGAGCCUCUGCAUUCUUGUCAAAUAUGUAAAUAGCAUGUUUUUGCAGGUGCUAAAAAACAGACUCUGAGUGUGUGUGUGUGUGUGUGUGUGUGUGUGUGUGUGUCUGUGUGUGUGUAUAUAUCUUGCAGUACUCUGAGAAGAAUAAUAAGCAUAUUUCUGCGGUGAAUUUUGAAGAUUCAUCUGAGAGUUAGGAGGGCUGAUCAUUCCCUUACCCUUUAGAUGUCUGUCUAUGUCUGUUUUUGUGUGAUAAUGAAAGAAUCCCAACUCAAAAAGGCUCUGUUGAUGUUUUUUUUUGUUGUUCAUUCAUAUUCAAACCACUAUUUUAUAUCACUGCUAAUACGCCAAGACCAUUUUAUGGUAUUUAGCUUUAUUAUUUCUAUACAUUUUGCAAGGAAAGAAACCAAGGCCUUCACUAAAAUUUCCAUAAACUUUAGGAAAGGACCUCUGGUUGUUUAAGGGGGUCAUUACUGCAAAAACAUAUUCUUCCUAAAUUUUGAAGGUCAAACCUUAGAUCCAUUAGGUUUAAAUAGAAAAAGCAUUAAAAUAUGUUAGGAUUAUAGCAUAUGACAAAUGUGUGCCUCUCAGUGGCAUAACUACUUUGUCUGCUGGCUCUGCAGUCGAUUGACGCUCCCCAGCGUUCAAGUCACAUGACAUAUUUAACCGGAUGUAGCUGCAAGACGGAGCCUCGUUCACCCUCCGUUUCAACUUAUCUCAAAAGUGAGGACCUCAAACUAUAUACCAGUUUUUUAAAUUGUGUUGAUAGGCCAAAUAAAACCAGAGUUAUGAUAAAUUAUGUCCGCGAUACUUUUUUUCUGCUUAUUUUGAUCACGUUCGGCGCUCGAUCACGCUGUAUGAGACAGGAAAACAUAGCAUGCAGACAUUAGCGACAGCUCUUACAGGCGGAAAAGGCAUGCCAAAAGAAAAAAAAAACACACCACAACAUCUCUCCUAUUGGUGGAAAACUUCACCACAACAACCAAUCCAAAAUUAUAUGGUGACUGAUUGACAAGGGGCGGGCGCUUACGUUCUUCCUGCAAUAUGAGAAGGGAGGGAGGAACUCUCAGCAGGGAUGCAGUCUGGGAAACGUAGUUGCAAACCUAGCGACUUUGUUGUUAGAUUCAAUGACUUUUCAGACCCCCUAACGACUUUUUUAGAAAGAAAGGGAAUUUUAUCGACUUCCUCUGGAGUUUAGAGACUCUGACAUGAAGCAGGCUUUCCUUACUGAGGAGUUAGCAACGCUGCUAAGGGUGCAGAGCCACACAUGCGCUCCGAGCUCUGCAUGGGAGACUAGAGCUGAGAGAGCUGCAGCAGUUAGCAGGUUUCACCCUCAGAGACCACCAGGAGUUCAUGUUGAGGCAUUUUCAGUUUUUUUUUUUUUUUGCCAUAGACACUGUCAGCACAAUCUGCAGUUACACUAACAAAAAUGCUGCAAAAAACAAAGAAUUAUGGAAAAAUUACACAUGGACUGACAUAGAGGAGGAUCUACACAAGUUUUUUACAUCAUGUUUUACAUCAUGCAUCAUUUGCAUCAUGUUUUUUUGUAGUGGCAUAAAUAAAAAGUGACAUUUGUGAGACUAUACAGUGUUUUGUAAAUAAUUUUACAAAGAACGCCUGGGCCAUUGCCUGCAUUUUGAUGUAAAUAGAGGUAAAUUACUAUGUUCUUUGUUAAAAAUUUGCAUAUGUUUUGAAGUUUACAAUUUUUAUUUGAAGUUUAAGUUUUAAAAACAGUUCAUCACACAUAUUUGUGGUUUAAUUUCACAUUAAUUUCCAUAUUGUAUAAAUGACUGGAAAAAACUUGAGCCCCUGCCCCUGUAUAAUCAUGUGCACGUCCCUGUUCUAGCUCCAAGGUGAAUCUUCACUGCUCAUGUUCUCCUCAGAAGUAGUCACCUCACUCUCCUCAGGUUACUGUACACAUGCACCAACUAUCUGCUUCAGGUUUGGAUGGAGCUUCAUGGUUGUCUUUUGGAGAAAUGAACAGUCAAGUUGUGUUUGAAAUUUGAUUUUUUUCAGGGGCAAAAGGAAGCCUCUGCAUUCUUGUCAAAUAUGUAAACAGCAUGUUUUUGCAGGUGCUAAAAAACAGACUCUGAGUGUGUGUGUGUGUGUGUGUGUGUGUGUGUGUGUGUGUGUGUGUGUGUGUGUGUGUGUGGGCGUGUGUGUAUAUGUGUGUGUGUCCGGCAGUACUCUGUACUCCUGCAGUGGCCAAAAAGACUUUUAAGAAUGUGGAUUUUUGGGUCAUCUUUGGCGCCCCCUAGAACUGCAGUACUCUGUACUCCUGCAGUGGCCAAAAUGACUUUUAAGAAUGUGGAUUUUUGGGUCAUCUUUGGCGCCCCCUAGAACGUAAACCGUGGGGUGCAGCGUCAUGAUUUUUACAACUUUGAAUGGCCAUGGGGUGUGGAUUGCCCUGAGCAAAUUUGGUAUCGGUGGGACGAAAGCCUUAGGAGGAGUUAGCCACAUUCCAAUGUGUGCGAAUCGGCAAAAAAUGCGAAAUAGCCCUUUAACCAUACAUUUGACAGAUACGUGCCUAUUGACUUUUUUGUAGAUCUUAUUGAGAUACACGUGAUUGUCAAAUUGUGUGUCAAUAUGACAAAGUGUAUAGGCGUGACACUCAACAAUGUGUAUUUUUACCUUAGGAGACAAGAAAAAAUGGACUUUUUUCUCCUGCCAUGGGGGGGCGCUCUUUUGGGGAGUAAAAAUUCCUUCACAAAUGUGUUGAUGGCUGGACAUUGCAUCAUCCUAGAAAACUUGGAGGCCAGUGAGGACAAAAAUAAAAAGUUAUAAGACUUUUAAGAAUGUGGAUUUUUGGGUUAUCUUUGGCGCCCCCUAGAAAGUAAACCGUGGGGUGCAGCAUCAUGAUUUGUACAACUUUUAAUGGCCAUGGGGUGUAGAUUGGCCUGAGCAAACUUGGUGCCGGUGGAACGAAAGCCUUCGGAGGAGUUAGCGAAAUUCCAAUGUGUGCGGAUCGGCAAAAAAAGCGAAAUAGCCCUUUAACCGUACAUUUGGCAGAUACGCCCGCACUGACUUUUUCGUAGAUCUUAUUGAGAUACACAUGUGUGUCAAAUUUUGUGUCAUUUUGACAAAGCGUACAGGCAUCAGGUGAGUUUUCACCAUAGGGGGCGCUAUGGAGCCAUUUUUCAUUUUUUUGUUUGGACGACUUCAGAAUAUCAAAUUUUUCACCAGGCCCGGUCGUCCUGCCAAAUUUCCUGAGUUUUCGCCAGUGGGAAGUGGGCCAUUUUCCAGUUUAAAGCGGAGGAAAAAUAACGAAAGAAGAAUCCAUCAGGAACAAGAGGGCUCUCGCAGCUGCUUAGCAGCUACGCUCGGGCCCUAAUAACUAGGACCCCGUUGGGGCACUGGCGGGCCCGAGCCGUGUCGCGUCCCCCCCCCCAACGUGCUGCCUCCCCGUCCCAUUUGUGUCCUCUGGCCAUCGCCCUCUCUGGUAACGCCCAUCACUGCAAAGACCCUUUUCCUUCAUCGGCGUUUGCUGUUCUUCCUGCCAGUGCGUGUUGCUUUCACUUACACUUGCCACAGCCAGCUUCGUGAGUGCCUAGCCUAUUGGAUAUCACUGUCACCUACACAGGACAGUCAUUACCUUUCUAUUAAUACUUUGUGUUUUAAUUUCACAUUAAUUUCCAUAUUGUAUAAACGACUGGAAAAAACUUGAGCCCCUGCCCCUGUAUAAUCAUGUGCAUGUCUCUGUUCUAGCUCCAAGGUGAAUCUUCACUGCUCAUGUUCUCCUCAGAAGCACUCACCUCACUCCCCUCAGGUUACUGUACACAUGCACCAACUGCCUGCUUCAGGUUUGGAUGGAGCUUCAUGGUUGUCUUUUGGAGAAAUGACCAGUCAAGUUGUGUUUGAAAUUUGAUUUUUUUCAGGGGCAAAAGGAGCCUCUGCAUUCUUGUCAAAUAUGUAAAUAGCAUGUUUUUGCAGGUGCUAAAAACCAGACUCUGAGUGUGUGUGUGUGUGUGUGUGUGUGCGUGUGUGUGUGUCUGUGUGUGCGUUCAAGUCACAUGACAUAUUUAACCGGAUGUAGCUGCAAGACGGAGCCUCGUUGACUCUCCGUUUCAACUUAUCUCAAAAGUGAGGACCUCAACCUAUAUACCAGUUUUUAAAUUGUGUUGAUAGGCCAAAUAAAACCAGAGUUAUGAUAAAUUAUGUCCGCGAUACUUUUUUUCUGCUUAUUUUGAUCACGUUCGGCGCUCGAUCGCGCUGUAUGAGACAGGAAAACAUAGCAUGCAGACAUUAGCGACAGGUCUUACAGGCGGAAAAGGCUUGCCAAAAGAAAAAAAAAACACACCACAACAUCUCUCCUAUUGGUGGAAAACUUCACCACAACAACCAAUCCAAAAUUAUAUGGUGACUGAUUGACAAGGGGCGGGCGCUUACGUUCUUCCUGCAACAUGAGAAGGGAGGGAGGGACUCUCAGCAGGGAUGCAGUCUGGGACACGUAGUUGCAAACCUAGCGACUUUGUUGUUAGAUUCAAUGACUUUUCAGACCCCCUAACGACUUUUUUUUAGGAAGAAAGGGACUUUUAUCGACUUCUUCUGGAGUUUAGAGACUCUGACAUGAAGCAGGCUUUCCUUACUGAGGAGUUAGCAACGCUGCUAAGGGUGCAGAGCCACACAUGCGCUCAGAGCUCUGCAUGGGAGACUGAAGCUGACAGUGCUGCAGCAGUUAGCAGGUUUCACCCUCAGAGACCACCAGGGGUUCAUGUUGAGGCAUUUUAAAUUUUUUUUUUUUUUUGUGCCAUAGACACUGUCAGCACAAUCUGCAGUUACACUAACAAAAAUGCUGCAAAAAACAAAGAAUUAUGGAAAAAUUACACAUGGACUGACAUAGAGGAGGAUCUACACAAGUUUUUUACAUCAUGUUUUACAUCAUGCAUCAUUUACAUCAUGUUUUUUUGUAGUGGCAUAAAUAAAAAGUGACAUUUGUGAGACUAUACAGUGUUUUGUAAAUAAUUUUACAAAGAACGCCUGGGCCAUUGCCUGCAUUUUGAUGAAAAUAGAGGUAAAUCACUAUGUUCUUUGUUAAAAAUUUGCAUAUGUUUUGAAGUUAACAAUUUUUAUUUGAAGUUUAAGUUUUAAAAACAGUUCACACAUAUUUGUGGUUUUCACAGUAAAAAUGUUACUUUUUUCCACUCGGAUUUUAUGUUUUGUGUGUGAAUUUGGGUCCAUUGUGUAAAUUCAGUAUGUCAACAUGAUAAAAUAACUGUAAAUUCGCACAGGUGAGGUUGUGCUGAAAAAAAUGAUACCAGGCAAGGCACGUGAUUGUCAAAUUUUGUGUCAAUAUGACAAAGCGUAUAGGCGUGAAUCUCAACAAUAUGUAUUUUCACCUUAGGGGACAAGAAAAAAUUGACUUUUUUCUCCUGCCAUGGGGGGGCGCUCUUUUGGGGAGUAAAAAUUCCUUCACAAAUGUGUUGAUGGCUGGACAUUGCAUCAUCCUAGAAAACUUGGAGGCCAGUGAGGACAAAAAUAAAAAGUUAUAAGACUUUUAAAUAUGUGGAUUUUAGGGUUAUCUUUGGCGCCCCCUAGAACCUAAACCGUGGGGUGCAGCGUCAUGAUUUGAAUAACUUUUAAUGGCCACGGGGUGUAGAUUGGCCUGAGCAAAUGUGGUGCCGGUGGAACGAAAGCCUUAGGAGGAGUUAGCCACAUUCAAAUGUGUGCGGAUCGGCAAAAAAUGCGGAAUAACCCUUUAACCGUACAUUUGACAGAUACGCGCGCAUUGACUUUUUCGUAGAUCUUAUUGAGUUACAUGUGUGUGUCAAUUUUUGUGUCAUUUUGACAAAGCGUAUAGGCGUGACACUCAACAAUGUGUAUUUUCACCUUAGGGGACAAGAAAAAAUGGACUUUUUUCUCCUGCCAUGGGGGGGCGCUCUUUUGGGGAGUAAAAAUUCCUUCACAAAUGUGUUGAUGGCUGGACAUUGCAUCAUCCUAGAAAACUUGGAGGCCAGUGAGGACAAAAAUAAAAAGUUAUAAGACUUUUAAAUAUGUGGAUUUUAGGGUUAUCUUUGGCGCCCCCUAGAACCUAAACCGUGGGGUGCAGCGUCAUGAUUUGAAUAACUUUUAAUGGCCAUGGGGUGUAGAUUGGCCUGAGCAAAUGUGGUGCCGGUGGAACGAAAGCCUUAGGAGGAGUUAGCGAAAUUCCAAUGUGUGCGGAUCGGCAAAAAAUGCGGAAUAACCCUUUAACCGUACAUUUGACAGAUACGCGCGCAUUGACUUUUUCGUAGAUCUUAUUGAGUUACAUGUGUGUGUCAAUUUUUGUGUCAUUUUGACAAAGCGUAUAGGCGUGACACUCAACAAUGUGUAUUUUCACCUUAGGGGACAAGAAAAAAUGGACUUUUUUCUCCUGCCAUGGGGGGGCGCUCUUUUGGGGAGUAAAAAUUCCUUCACAAAUGUGUUGAUGGCUGGACAUUGCAUCAUCCUAGAAAACUUGGAGGCCAGUGAGGACAAAAAUAAGAAGUUAUAAGACUUUUAAAUAUGUGAAUUUUAGUGUUAUCUUUGGCGCCCCCUAGAACCUAAACCUUGGGGUGCAGCGUCAUGAUUUUGAUAACUUUUAAUGGCCACGGGGUGUAGAUUGGCCUGAGCAAAUGUGGUGCCGGUGGAACGAAAGCCUUCAGAGGAGUUAGCGAAAUUCCAAUGUGUGCGGAUCGGCAAAAAAUGCGAAAUAACCCUUUAACCGUAAUUUUGACAGAUACGGCCACACUGACUUUUUUGUAGAUCUUAUUGAGAUACAUAUGUGUGUCAAUUUUUGUGUCAAUAUGACAAAGGGUACAGGCGUGACAGUCAAUAGUGUGAAUUUCCACCUUAGGGGGCGCUAUGGAGCCAUUUUGCAUUUUAUUGUUUGGGCGACUUCAGAAUAUCGAAUUUUUCACCAGGCCCGGUCGUCCUGCCAAAUUUCAUGAGUUUUCGCCAGUGGGAAGUGGGCCAUUUUCCAGUUCAAAGGGGAGGAAAAAGAAAAACUAGGGCCCCGUUGGGGCACUGGCGGGCCCGAGCCGUGUCACGCCGCCCCCAGCGCGACCGCCUCCCCCACCCGAUCGCGUCACACUCAAGGUCCAAAGAUGGUGUGCGCACUUGUUUGUGGUCAUUUACCAUUAUAAUGAACGGGAGGCGCAGUUUCUACCAAAGCGCUCGCUGCAGAAAAACUCCAUGUCCUAUUUGAAAAAAGUCUGGACCAUGAGUGAGGGCACAAACACAGCUAAGAUAUAUCCAAAUGGCAAGUUGCUCCUCCUUUCGCUUUUGCCGAGAGAGCAGUGCGUUUGAGCCAUUGAAUGAUGAACAGGAAAAACUUGACUUUAUUCUCCUGCCAUGGGGGGCGCUCUUUUAACGAGAAAAAACUCCUUCACAAAUGUGUUGAUGGCUGGACAUUGCAUCAUCCUAGAAAACAUGGAGGCCAGUGAGGACAAAAAUAAAAAGUUAUAAGACUUUUAAAUAUGUGGAUUUUAGGGUUAUCUUUGGCGCCCCCUAGAACCUAAACCGUGGGGUGCAGCGUCAUGAUUUGAAUAACUUUUAAUGGCCAUGGGGUGUAGAUUGGCCUGAGCAAAUGUGGUGCCGGUGGAACAAAAGCCUUCGGAGGAGUUAGCGAAAUUCCAAUGUGUGCGAAUCUGCAAAAAAUGCAAAAUAACCCUUUAACCGUACAUUUUACAGAUACGUGGCCAUUGACUUUUUCGAAGAUCUUAUUAAAAUACACGUGUAUGUAAAAUUUUGUGUCAAUACGACAAAACAUACAGGCGUAGCACUCAACAAUGUGUAUUUUCACCUUAGUGGACAAGAAAAAAUUGACUUUUUUCUCCUGCCAUGGGGGGGCGCUCUUUUGGGGAGUAAAAAUUCCUUCACAAAUGUGUUGAUGGCUGGACAUUGCAUCAUCCUAGAAAACUUGGAGGCCAGUGGGGACAAAAAUAAAAAGUUAUAAGACUUUUAAAUAUGUGGAUUUUACGGUUAUCUUUGGCGCCCCCUAGAACCUAAACCGUGGGGUGCAGCGUCAUGAUUUGAAUAACUUUUAAUGGCCAUGGGGUGUAGAUUGGCCUGAGCAAAUGUGGUGCCGGUGGAACGAAAGCCUUCGGAGGAGUUAGCGAAAUUCCAAUGUGUGCGGAUCGGCAAAAAAUGCGGAAUAACCCUUUAACCGUACAUGUAACAGAUACGCGCGCAUUGACUUUUUCGUAGAUCUUAUUGAGAUACAUGUGUGUGUCAAUUUUUGUGUCAUUUUGCCAAAGCGUACAGGUGUUACACUCAACAAUGUGUAUUUUCACCUUAGAGGACAAGAAAAAAUGGACUUUUUUCUCCUGCCAUGGGGGGGCGCUCUUUUGGGGAGUAAAAAUUCCUUCACAAAUGUGUUGAUGGCUGGACAUUGCAUCAUCCUAGAAAACUUGGAGGCCAGUGAGGGCAAAAAUAAAAAGUUAUAAGACUUUUAAAUAUGUGGAUCUUAGGGUUAUCUUUGGCGCCCCCUAGAACCUAAACCGUGGGGUGCAGCGUCAUGAUUUGAAUAACUUUUAAUGGCCAUGGGGUGUAGAUUGGCCUGAGCAAAUGUGGUGCCGGUGGAACGAAAGCCUUCGGAGGAGUUAGCGAAAUUCCAAUGUGUGCGGAUCGGCAAAAAAUGCGAAAUAACCCUUUAACCGUACAUUUGACAGAUACGCCCGCACUGACUUUUUUGUAGAUCUUAUUGAGAUACAUGUGUGUGUCAAUUUUUGUGUCAUUUUGACAAAGCGUACAGGCGUGACAGUGAAUAGUGUGAAUUUUCACCUUAGGGGGCGCUAUGGAGCCAUUUUGCAUUUUCUUGUUUGGGCGACUUCGGAAUAUCAAAUUUUUCACGAGGCCCGGUCGUCCUGCCAAAUUUCAUGAGUUUUUGCCAGUGGGAAGUGGGCCAUUUUCCAGUUCAAAGGGGAGGAAAAAUAAUAAUAAUAAUAAUAAUAACAAACUAGGGCCCCGUUGGGGCACUGGCGGGCCCGAGCCGCGUUGCGCCGCCCCCAGUGCGACCGCCUCCCCCUCCUGAUCGCGUCACACUCAAGGUCCAAAGAUGGUGUGCGCACUUGUCUGUGGUCAUUUCCCAUUAUAAUAAAUGGGAGGCGCAGUUUCUACCAAAACACUCGCUGCAGACAAACUACAUGUCCUAUUUGAAAAAAGUCUGGACCAUGAGUGAGGGCACAAACACAGCUAGGAUAUAUCCAAACGGCAAGUUGCUCCUCGUUACGGUGUUGCCGGGAGAGCGAUGCGAUUGAGCCAUUGAGUGAUGGGCAGGAAAAACUUGACUGUUUCUCCUGCCAUGGGGGAUGGGGGAUGGGGGAUGGGGGAUGGGGGGGGUGGAUUCUUUUAAGAAUGUGGAUAUUUGGGUCAUCUUUGGCGCCCCCUAGAACGUAAACCGUGGGGUGCAGCGUCAUGAUUUUUAAAACUUUGAAUGGCCAUGGGGUGUAGAUUGGCCUGAGCAAAUUUGGUGUCAGUGGGACGAAAGACUUAGGAGGAGUUAGCCACAUUCCAAUGUGUGCUAAUCGGCAAAAAAUGCAAAAUAGCCCUUUAACCGUACAUUUGACAGAUACGCGCGCAUUGACUUUUUCGUAGAUCUUAUUGAGAUACAUGUGAUUGUCAAAUUUUGUGUCAAUAUGAUAAAGCGUACAGGCGUGACAGUCAACAAUGUGUAUUUUCACCUUAUGGGACAAGAAAAAAUUGACUUUUUUCUCCUGCCAUGGGGGGGGCUCUUUUGGGGAGUAAAAAUUCCUUCACAAAUGUGUUGAUGGCUGGACAUUGCAUCAUCCUAGAAAACUUGGAGGCCAGAGAGGACAAAAAUAAAAAGUUAUAAGACUUUUAAAUAUGUGGAUUUUAGGGUUAUCUUUGGCGCCCCCUAGAACCUAAACCGUGGGGUGCAGCGUCAUGAUUUGAAUAACUUUUAAUGGCCAUGGGGUGUAGAUUGGCCUGAGCAAAUGUGGUGCCGGUGGAACGAAAGCCUUCGGAGGAGUUAGCGAAAUUCCAAUGUGUGCGGAUCGGCAAAAAAUGCGGAAUAACCCUUUAACCGUACAUUUGACAGAUACGCGCGCAUUGACUUUUUCGUAGAUCUUAUUGAGAUACAUGUGUGUGUCAAUUUUUGUGUCAUUUUGCCAAAGCGUACAGGUGUUACACUCAACAAUGUGUAUUUUCACCUUAGGGGACAAGAAAAAAUGGACUUUUUUCUCCUGCCAUGGGGGGGCGCUCUUUUGGGGAGUAAAAAUUCCUUCACAAAUGUGUUGAUGGCUGGACAUUGCAUCAUCCUAGAAAACUUGGAGGCCAGUGACGGCAAAAAUAAAAAGUUAUUAGACUUUUAAAUAUGUGGAUCUUAGGGUUAUCUUUGGCGCCCCCUAGAACCUAAACCGUGGGGUGCAGCGUCAUGAUUUGAAUAACUUUUAAUGGCCAUGGGGUGUAGAUUGGCCUGAGCAAAUGUGGUGCCGGUGGAACAAAAGCCUUCGGAGGAGUUAGCGAAAUUCCAAUGUGUGCGGAUCGGCAAAAAAUGCGAAAUAACCCUUUAACCGUACAUUUGACAGAUACGCCCGCACUGACUUUUUUGUAGAUCUUAUUGAGAUACAUGUGUGUGUCAAUUUUUGUGUCAUUUUGACAAAGCGUACAGGCGUGACAGUCAAUAGUGUGAAUUUUCACCUUAGGGGGCGCUAUGGAGCCAUUUUGCAUUUUCUUGUUUGGGCGACUUCGGAAUAUCAAAUUUUUCACCAGGCCCGGUCGUCCUGCCAAAUUUCAUGAGUUUUCGCCAGUGGGAAGUGGGCCAUUUUCCAGUUCAAAGGGGAGGAAAAUAAUAAUAAAAUAAUAACUAGGGCCCCGGUGGGGCACUGUCGGGCCCGAGCCGCGUCGCGCCGCCCCUAGCGCGACCGCCUCCCCCUCCCGAUCGCGUCACACUCAAGGUCCAAAGAUGGUGUGCGCACUUGUCUGUGGUCAUUUCCCAUUAUAAUGAAUGGGAGGCGCAGUUUCUACCAAAACACUCGCUGCAGACAAACUUCAUGUCCUAUUUGAAAAAAGUCUGGACCAUGAGUGAGGGCACAAACACAGCUAUGAUAUAUCGAAAUGGCAGGUUGCUCCUCCUUACGGUGUUGCCUGGAGAGCGAUGCGAUUGAGCCAUUGAGCGAUGGGCAGGGUUAACUUGACUUUUUCUCCUGCCUUGGGGGGGGCUGGGAGAAAAAUUCCUUCACAAAUGUGUUGAUGGCUGACAUGCAUAUCUAGAAAACUUGGAGGCCAGUGGGACAAAAUAAAAGUUUAAGAAUGUGGAUUUUGGGUCAUCUUUGGCGCCCCCUAGAACGUAAACCGUGGGGUGCAGCGUCAUGAUUUUUACAACUUUGAAUGGCCAUGGGGUGUAGAUUGGCCUGAGCAAAUUUGGUGUCAGUGGGACGAAAGCCUUAGGAGGAGUUAGCCACAUUCCAAUGUGUGCGAAUCGGCAAAAAAUGCAAAAUAGCCCUUUAACCGUACAUUUGACAGAUACGCGCGCAUUGACUUUUUUGUAGAUCUUAUUGAGAUACAUAUGUGUGUCAAUUUUUGUGUCAAUAUGAUAAAGCGUACAGGCGUGACAGUCAAUAGUGUGAAUUUCCACCUUAGGGGACAAGAAAAAAUUGACUUUUUUCUCCUGCCAUGGGGGGGCGCUCUUUUGGGGAGUAAAAAUUCCUUCACAAAUGUGUUGAUGGCUGGACAUUGCAUCAUCCUAGAAAACUUGGAGGCCAGUGAGGACAAAAAUAAAAAGUUAUAAGACUUUUAAAAAUUUGGAUUUUUGGGUUAUCUUUGGCGCCCCCUAGAACGUAAACCGUGGGGUGCAGCGUCAUGAUUUGAAUAACUUUUAAUGGCCAUGGGGUGUAGAUUGGCCUGAGCAAAUGUGGUGCCGGUGGAACGAAAGCCUUCGGAGGAGUUAGCGAAAUUCCAAUGUGUGCGGAUCGGCAAAAAAUGCGGAAUAACCCUUUAACCGUACAUUUGACAGAUACGCGCCCAUUGACUUUUUUGUAGAUCUUAUUGAGAUACAUGUGUGUGUCAAUUUUUGUGUCAUUUUGACAAAGCGUACAGGCGUGACACUCAACAAUGUGUAUUUUCACCUUAGGGGACAAGAAAAAAUGGACUUUUUUCUCCUGCCAUGGGGGGGCGCUCUUUUGGGAGUAAAAAUUCCUUCACAAAUGUGUUGAUGGCUGGACAUUGCAUCAUCCUAGAAAACUUGGAGGCCAGUGAGGACAAAAAUAAAAAGUUAUAAGACUUUUGAAAUAUGUGGAUUUUAGUGUUAUCUUUGGCGCCCCCUAGAACCUAAACCGUGGGGUGCAGCGUCAUGAUUUGAAUAACUUUUAAUGGCCAUGGGGUGUAGAUUGGCCUGAGCAAAUGUGGUGCCGGUGGAACGAAAGCCUUCGGAGGAGUUAGCGAAAUUCCAAUGUGUGCGGAUCGGCAAAAAAUGCGCAAUAACCCUUUAACCGUACAUUUGACAGAUACGCCCGCACUGACUUUUUUGUAGAUCUUAUUGAGAUACAUGUGUGUGUCAAUUUUUGUGUCAUUUUGACAAAGCGUACAGGCGUCAGGUGAAUUUUUCACCUUAGGGGGCGCUAUGGAGCCAUUUUGCAUUUUAUUGUUUGGCCGACUUCGGAAUAUCAAAUUUUUCACCAGGCCCGGUCGUCCUGCCAAAUUUCAUGAGUUUUCGCCAGUGGGAAGUGGGCCAUUUUCCAGUUCAAAGGGGAGGAAAAAUAAUAACUAGGACCCCGUUGGGGCACUGGCGGGCCCGAGCUGUGUCGCGUCCCCCCCCCCAACGCGCUGCCUCCCCAUCCCAUUCGCGUCCUCUGGCCGUCGCCCUCUCUGGUAACGCCCAUCACUGCAAAGACCCUUUUCCUUCAUCGGCGUUUGCUGCUCUUCCUGCCAGUGCGUGUUGCUUUCACUUACACUUGCCACAGCCAGCCUCGUGAGUGCCUAGCCUAUUGGAUAUCACUGUCACCUACACAGGACAGUCAUUACCUUUCUAUUAAUACUUUGUUUUUUAAUUUCACAUUAAUUUCCAUAUUGUAUAAACAACUGGAAAAAACUUGAGCCCCUGCCCCUGUAUAAUCAUGUGCACGUCUCUGUUCUAGCUCUAAGGUGAAUCUUCACUGCUCAUGUUCUCCUCAGAAGCAGUCACCUCACUCCCCUCAGGUUACUGUACACAUGCACCAACUGCCUGCUUCAGGUUUGGAUGGAGCUUCAUGGUUGUCUUUUGGAGAAAUGACCAGUCAAGUUGUGUUUGAAAUUUGAUUUUUUUCAGGGGCAAAAGGAGCCUCUGCAUUCUUGUCAAAUAUGUAAAUAGCAUGUUUUUGCAGGUGCUAAAAACCAGACUCUGAGUGUGUGUGUGUGCGUGUGUGUGUGUGUGUGUUGUGUGUGUGUGUGUGUGUGUGUGUGUGUGUGUGUGCGUUCAAGUCACAUGACAUAUUUAACUGGAUGUAGCUGCAAGACGGAGCCUCGUUGACUCUCCGUUUCAAUUUAUCUCAAAAGUGAGGACCUCAACCUAUAUACCAGUUUUUAAAUUGUGUUGAUAGGCCAAAUAAAACCAGAGUUAUGAUAAAUUAUGUCCGCGAUACUUGUUUUCUGCUUAUUUUGAUCACGUUCGGCGCUCGAUCGCGCUGUAUGAGACAGGAAAACAUAGCAUGCAGACAUUAGCGACAGGUCUUACAGGCGGAAAAGGCUUGCCAAAGGAAAAAAAAAACACACCACAACAUCUCUCCUAUUGGUGGAAAACUUCACCACAACAACCAAUCCAAAAUUAUAUGGUGACUGAUUGACAAGGGGCGGGAACUUACGUUCUUCCUGCAAUAUGAGAAGGGAGGGAGGGACUCUCAGCAGGGAUGCAGUCUGGGACACGUAGUUGCAAACCUAGCGACUUUGUUGUUAGAUUCAAUGACUUUUCAGACCCCCUAACGACUUUUUUUUAGAAAGAAAGUGACUUUUAUCGACUUCUUCUGGAGUUUAGAGACUCUGACAUGAAGCAGGCUUUCCUUACUGAGGAGUUAGCAACACUGCUAAGGGUGCAGAGCCACACAUGCGCUCCGAGCUCUGCAUGGGAGACUGAAGCUGACAGAGCUGCAGCAGUUAGCAGGUUUCACCCUCAGAGACCACCAGGGGUUCAUGUUGAGGCAUUUUCAGUUUUUUUUUUUUUUUUUUUUGCCAUAGACACUGUCAGCACAAUCUGCAGUUACACUAACAAAAAUGCUGCAAAAAACAAAGAAUUAUGGAAAAAUUACACAUGGACUAACAUAGAGGAGGAUCUACACAAGUUUUUUACAUCAUGUUUUACAUCAUGCAUCAUUUACAUCAUGUUUUUUUGUAGUGGCAUAAAUAAAAAGUGACAUUUGUGAGACUAUACAGUGUUUUGUAAAUAAUUUUACAAAGAACACCUGGGCCAUUGCCUGCAUUUUGAUGUCAAUAGAGGUAAAUUUCUAUGUUCUUUGUUAAAAAUUUGCAUAUGUUUUGAAGUUUACAAUUUUUAUUUGAAGUUUAAGUUUUAAAAACAGUUCAUCACACAUAUUUGUGGUUUUCACAGUAAAAACGUUACUUUUUUCCACUCGGAUUUUAUGUUUUGUGUGUGAAUUUGGGUCCAAUGUGUAAAUAUAGUAUGUCAAAAUGAUAAAAUAACUGUAAAUUGACACAGGUGAGGUUGUGCUGAAAAAAAUGAUACCAGGCAAGGCAAGGUAAAAAUUUUGUAAGAGGAAAUAUAAAGGUAAAAUCUAAAGUAGUCAAAAACGGCCAAUAGUGACUCACAGACUCCACAGACAAGUCCCUUUGGCGCCACUCAGUGGGCAAAACUACUUUGUCUACUGUAAUGUAUAUUUGGGUCAUCUUUGGCGCCCCCUAAAACGUAAACCGUGGGGUGCAGCGUCAUGAUUUUUACAACUUUGAAUGGCCAUGGAGUGUAGAUUGGCCUGAGCAAAUUUGGUGUCAGUGGGACAAAGGCCUUAGGAGGAGUUAGCGAAAUUCCAAUGUGUGCGAAUUGGCAAAAAAUGCAAAAUAGCCCUUUUACCAUACAUUAUACAGAUACGCGCUUUUUGACUUUUUCGUAGAUCUAAUUGAGAUACACAUGAUUGUCAAUUUUUGUGUCAUUUUGCCAAAGCGUACAGGCGUGACAGUCAACAAUGUGUAUUUUCACCUUAGGGGACAAGAAAAAAUGGACUUUUUUCUCCUGCCAUGGGGGGGCGCUCUUUUAGGGAGUAAAAAUUCCUUCACAAAUGUGUUGAUGGCUGGACAUUGCAUCAUCCUAGAAAACUUGGAGGCCAGUGAGGACAAAAAUAAAAAGUUAAAAGACUUUUAAAAAUGUGGAUUUUUGGGUUAUCUUUGGCGCCCCCUAGAACGUAAACCGUGGGGUGCAGCGUCAUGAUUUGAAUAACUUUUAAUGGCCAUGGGGUGUAAUUUGGCCUGAGCAAAUGUGGUGCCGGUGGAACGAAAGCCUUCGGAGGAGUUAGCGAAAUUCCAAUGUGUGGGAAUCGGCAAAAAAUGCGGAAUAACCCUUUAACCGUACAUUAGACAGAUACGUGCGCAUGGACUUUUUUGUAGAUCUUCUUGAGAUACAUGUGUGUGUCAAUUUUUGUGUCAUUUUGCCAAAGCGUACAGGCGUAACACUCAACAAUGUGUAUUUUCACCUUAGGGGACAAGAAAAAAUGGACUUUUUUCUCCUGCCAUGGGGGGGCGCUCUUUUGGGGAGUAAAAAUUCAUUCACAAAUGUGUUGAUGGCUGGACAUUGCAUCAUCCUAGAAAACUUGGAGGCCAGUGAGGGCAAAAAUAAAAAGUUAUAAGACUUUUAAAAAUGUGGAUUUUAGGGUUAUCUUUGGCGCCCCCUAGAACCUAAACCGUGGGGUGCAUCGUCAUGAUUUGAAUAACUUUUAAUGGCCAUGGGGUGUAGAUUGGCCUGAGCAAAUGUGGUGCCGGUGGAACGAAAGCCUUCUGAGGAGUUAGCGAAAUUCCAAUGUGUGCGGAUCGGCAAAAAAUGCGAAAUAACCCUUUAACCGUACAUUUGACAGAUACGCCCGCACUGACUUUUUUGUAGAUCUUAUUGAGAUACAUGUGUGUGUCAAUUUUUGUGUCAUUUUGACAAAGCGUACAGGCGUGACAGUCAAUAGUGUGAAUUUUCACCUUAGGGGGCGCUAUGGAGCCAUUUUGCAUUUUCUUGUUUGGGCGACUUCGGAAUAUCAAAUUUUUCACCAGGCCCGGUUGUCCUGCCAAAUUUCAUGAGUUUUCGCCAGUGGGAAGUGGGCCAUUUUCCAGUUCAAAGGGGAGGAAAAAGAAAAAAGAAACAAAGAAAAACCACUUGGGGAAUAAUAGGGCUCUCGCAGCUGCUUAGCAGCUACGCUCGGGCCCUAACUAGGACCCCGUUGGGGCACUGGCGGGCCCGAGCCGUGUCGCGUCCCCCCCCCCCCCAACGUGCUGCCUCCCCGUCCCAUUUGUGUCCUCUGGCCAUCGCCCUCUCUGGUAACGCCCAUCACUGCAAAGACCCUUUUCCUUCAUCGGCGUUUGCUGUUCUUCCUGCCAGUGCGUGUUGCUUUCACUUACACUUGCCACAGCCAGCCUCGUGAGUGCCUAGCCUAUUGGAUAUCACUGUCACCUACACAGGACAGUCAUUUCCUUUCUAUUAAUACUUUGUGUUUUAAUUUCACAUUAAUUUCCAUAUUGUAUAAACGACUGGAAAAAACUUGAGCCCCUGCCCCUGUAUAAUCAUGUGCACGUCUCUGUUCUAGCUCCAAGGUGAAUCUUCACUGCUCAUGUUCUCCUCAGAAGCACUCACCUCACUCCCCUCAGGUUACUGUACACAUGCACCAACUGCCUGCUUCAGGUUUGGAUGGAGCUUCAUGGUUGUCUUUUGGAGAAAUGACCAGUCAAGUUGUGUUUGAAAUUUGAUUUUUUUUCAGGGGCAAAAGGAGCCUCUGCAUUCUUGUCAAAUAUGUAAAUAGCAUGUUUUUGCAGGUGCUAAAAACCAGACUCUGAGUGUGUGUGUGUGUGUGUGUGUGUGUGUGUGUGUGUGUGUGUGUGUGCGUGUGUGUGUGUCUGUGUGUGCGUUCAAGUCACAUGACAUAUUUAACCGGAUGUAGCUGCAAGACGGAGCCUCGUUGACUCUCCGUUUCAACUUAUCUCAAAAGUGAGGACCUCAACCUAUAUACCAGUUUUUAAAUUGUGUUGAUAGGCCAAAUAAAACCAGAGUUAUGAUAAAUUAUGUCCGCGAUACUUUUUUUCUGCUUAUUUUGAUCACGUUCGGCGCUCGAUCGCGCUGUAUGAGACAGGAAAACAUAGCAUGCAGACAUUAGCGACAGGUCUUACAGGCGGAAAAGGCUUGCCAAAAGAAAAAAAAACACACCACAACAUCUCUCCUAUUGGUGGAAAACUUCACCACAACAACCAAUCCAAAAUUAUAUGGUGACUGAUUGACAAGGGGCGGGCGCUUACGUUCUUCCUGCAACAUGAGAAGGGAGGGAGGGACUCUCAGCAGGGAUGCAGUCUGGGACACGUAGUUGCAAACCUAGCGACUUUGUUGUUAGAUUCAAUGACUUUUCAGACCCCCAACGACUUUUUUUUAGAAAGAAAGUGACUUUUAUCGACUUCUUCUGGAGUUUAGAGACUCUGACAUGAAGCAGGCUUUCCUUACUGAGGAGUUAGCAACGCUGCUAAGGGUGCAGAGCCACACAUGCGCUCAGAGCUCUGCAUGGGAGACUGAAGCUGACAGAGCUGCAGCAGUUAGCAGGUUUCACCCUCAGAGACCACCAGGGGUUCAUGUUGAGGCAUUUUAAAUUUUUUUUUUUUUGUGCCAUAGACACUGUCAGCACAAUCUGCAGUUACACUAACAAAAAUGCUGCAAAAAACAAAGAAUUAUGGAAAAAUUACACAUGGACUGACAUAGAGGAGGAUCUACACAAGUUUUUUACAUCAUGUUUUACAUCAUGCAUCAUUUACAUCAUGUUUUUUUGUAGUGGCAUAAAUAAAAAGUGACAUUUGUGAGACUAUACAGUGUUUUGUAAAUAAUUUUACAAAGAACGCCUGGGCCAUUGCCUGCAUUUUGAUGUAAAUAGAGGUAAAUCACUAUGUUCUUUGUUAAAAAUUUGCAUAUGUUUUGAAGUUUACAAUUUUUAUUUGAAGUUUAAGUUUUAAAAACAGUUCAUCACACAUAUUUGUGGUUUUCACAGUAAAAAUGUUACUUUUUUCCACUCGGAUUUUAUGUUUUGUGUGUGAAUUUGGGUCCAUUGUGUAAAUUCAGUAUGUCAACAUGAUAAAAUAACUGUAAAUUCGCACAGGUGAGGUUGUGCUGAAAAAAAUGAUACCAGGCAAGGCACGUGAUUGUCACAUUGUUUAGCAAAAUUUCCCCAAUCCAAAAUUAUAUGGUGACUGAUUGACAAGGGGCGGGCGCUUACGUUCUUCCUGCAACAUGAGAAGGGAGGGAGGGACUCUCAGCAGGGAUGCAGUCUGGGACACGUAGUUGCAAACCUAGCGACUUUGUUGUUAGAUUCAAUGACUUUUCAGACCCCCUAACGACUUUUUUUUAGAAAGAAAGGGACUUUUAUCGACUUCUUCUGGAGUUUAGAGACUCUGACAUGAAGCAGGCUUUCCUUACUGAGGAGUUAGCAACGCUGCUAAGGGUGCAGAGCCACACAUGCGCUCAGAGCUCUGCAUGGGAGACUGAAGCUGACAGAGCUGCAGCAGUUAGCAGGUUUCACCCUCAGAGACCACCAGGGGUUCAUGUUGAGGCAUUUUAAUUUUUUUUUUUUUUUGUGCCAUAGACACUGUCAGCACAAUCUGCAGUUACACUAACAAAAAUGCUGCAAAAACAAAGAAUUAUGGAAAAAUUACACAUGGACUGACAUAGAGGAGGAUCUACACAAGUUUUUUACAUCAUGUUUUACAUCAUGCAUCAUUUACAUCAUGUUUUUUUGUAGUGGCAUAAAUAAAAAGUGACAUUUGUGAGACUAUACAGUGUUUUGUAAAUAAUUUUACAAAGAACGCCUGGGCCAUUGCCUGCAUUUUGAUGUAAAUAGAGGUAAAUUACUAUGUUCUUUGUUAAAAAUUUGCAUAUGUUUUGAAGUUUACAAUUUUUAUUUGAAGUUUAAGUUUUAAAAACAGUUCAUCACACAUAUUUGUGGUUUAAUUUCACAUUAAUUUCCAUAUUGUAUAAAUGACUGGAAAAAACUUGAGCCCCUGCCCCUGUAUAAUCAUGUGCACGUCCCUGUUCUAGCUCCAAGGUGAAUCUUCACUGCUCAUGUUCUCCUCAGAAAUAGUCACCUCACUCCCCUCAGGUUACUGUACACAUGCACCAACUAUCUGCUUCAGGUUUGAAAUGGAGCUUCAUGGUUGUCUUUUGGAGAAAUGAAACGUCAAGUUGUGUUUGAAAUUUGAUUUUUUUCAGGGGCAAAAGGAAGCCUCUGCAUUCUUGUCAAAUAUGUAAACAGCAUGUUUUUGCAGGUGCUAAAAAACAGACUCUGAGUGUGGGUGUGUGUCUGUGUGUGUGUGUGUGUGUGUGUGUGUGUGUGUGUGUGUGUGUGUGUGUGUGUAUGUUGGCGUGUGUGUAUAUGUGUGUGUAUCCUGCAGUACUCUGUACUCCUGCAGUGGCCAAAAAGACUUUUAAGAAUGUGGAUUUUUGGGUCAUCUUUGGCGCCCCCUAGAACUGCAGUACUCUGUACUCCUGCAGUGGCCAAAAUGACUUUUAAGAAUGUGGAUUUUUGGGUCAUCUUUGGCGCCCCCUAGAACGUAAACCGUGGGGUGCAGCGUCAUGAUUUUUACAACUUUGAAUGGGCAUGGGGUGUAGAUUGCCCUGAGCAAAUUUGGUAUCGGUGGGACGAAAGCCUUAGGAGGAGAUAGCCACAUUCCAAUGUGUGCGAAUCGGCAAAAAAUGCAAAAUAGCCCUUUAACCGUACAUUAUACAGAUACGCGCUCUUUGACUUUUUCGUAGAUCUAAUUGAGAUACACAUGAUUGUCAAUUUUUGUGUCAAUAUGACAAAGCGUUCAGGCGUGACACUCAACAAUGUGUAUUUUUAUGUAAGGGGACAAGAAAAAAUUGACUUUUUUCUCCUACCAUGGGGGGGCGCUCUUUUGGGGAGUAAAAAUUCCUUCACAAAUGUGUUGAUGGCUGGACAUUGCAUCAUCCUAGAAAACUUGGAGGCCAGUGAGGACAAAAAUAAAAAGUUAUAAAACAUUUAAGAAUGUGGAUUUUUGGGUUAUUUUUUGCGCCCCCUAGAACCUAAACCAUGGGGUGCAGCAUCAUGAUUUGAAUAACUUUUAAUGGCCAUGGGGUGUAGAUUGGCCUGAGCAAAUGUGGUGCCGGUGGAACGAAAGCCUUCGGAGGAGUUAGCGAAAUUCCAAUGUGUGCGUAUCGGCAAAAAAUGCGGAAUAACCCUUUAACUGUACAUUUGACAGAUACGCGCGCUGGACUUUUUUGUAGAUCUUAUUGAGUUACAUGUGUGUGUCAAUUUUUGUGUCAUUUUGACAAAGCGUAUAGGCUUGACACUCAACAAUGUGUAUUUUCACCUUAGGGGACAAGAAAAAAUGGACUUUUUUCUCCUGCCAUGGGGGGGCGCUCUUUUGGGGAGUAAAAAUUCCUUCACAAAUGUGUUGAUGGCUGGACAUUGCAUCAUCCUAGAAAACUUGAAGGCCAGUGAGGACAAAAAUAAAAAGUUAUAAGACUUUUAAAUAUGUGGAUUUUAGUGUUAUCUUUGGCGCCCCCUAGAACCUAAACCUUGGGGUGCAGCGUCAUGAUUUUGAUAACUUUUAAUGGCCACGGGGUGUAGAUUGGCCUGAGCAAAUGUGGUGCCGGUGGAACGAAAGCCUUCGGAGGAGUUAGCGAAAUUCCAAUGUGUGCGGAUCGGCAAAAAAUGCGAAAUAACCCUUUAACCGUAAUUUUGACAGAUACGGCCGCACUGACUUUUUUGUAGAUCUUAUUGAGAUACAUAUGUGUGUCAAUUUUUGUGUCAAUAUGACAAAGCGUACAGGCGUGACAGUCAAUAGUGUGAAUUUCCACCUUAGGGGGCGCUAUGGAGCCAUUUUGCAUUUUCUUGUUUGGGCGACUUCAGAAUAUCGAAUUUUUCACCAGGCCCGGUCGUCCUGCCAAAUUUCAUGAGUUUUCGCCAGUGGGAAGUGGGCCAUUUUCCAGUUCAAAGGGGAGGAAAAAGAAGAAAGAAAGAAAGAAAGAAAGAAAGAAACAAAGAAAAACCACUUGGGGAAUAAUAGGGCCUACGCCCGGCUGCUCUGCAGCUGGCUCGGGCCCUAAUAACAAAAGAAGGAAACAUGCAGGAACAAGAGGGCUCUCGCAGCUGCUUAGCAGCUACGCUCGGGCCCUAAAGAAAGAAAGAACUAGGGCCCCGGUGGGGCACUGUCGGGCCCGAGCCGCGUCGCACCGCCCCCAGCGCGACCGCCUCCACCUCCCGAUCGCGUCACACUCAAGGUCCAAAGAUGGUGUGCGCACUUGUCUGUGGUCAUUUCCCAUUAUAAUGAAUGGGAGGCGCAGUUUCUACCAAAACACUCGCUGCAGACAAACUACAUGUCCUAUUUGAAAAAAGUCUGGACCAUGAGUGAGGGCACAAACACAGCUAGGAUAUAUCCAAACGGCAAGUUGCUCCUCGUUACGGUGUUGCCGGGAGAGCGAUGCGAUUGAGCCAUUGAGUGAUGGGCAGGAAAAACUUGACUGUUUCUCCUGCCAUGGGGGGUGGGGGAUGGGGGGGGAUGUGGAUUCUUUUAAGAAUGUGGAUAUUUGGGUCAUCUUUGGCGCCCCCUAGAACGUAAACCGUGGGGUGCAGCGUCAUGAUUUUUACAACUUUGAAUGGCCAUGGGGUGUAGAUUGGCCUGAGCAAAUUUGGUGUCAGUGGGACGAAAGCCUUAGGAGAAGUUAGCCACAUUCCAAUGUGUGCGAAUCGGCAAAAAAUGCAAAAUAGCCCUUUAACCGUACAUUUGACAGAUACGCGCGCAUUGACUUUUUUGUAGAUCUUAUUGAGAUACAUAUGUGUGUCAAUUUUUGUGUCAAUAUGAUAAAGCGUACAGGCGUGACAGUUAAUAGUGUGAAUUUCCACCUUAGGGGACAAGAAAAAAUUGACUUUUUUCUCCUGCCAUGGGGGGGCGCUCUUUUGGGGAGUAAAAAUUCCUUCACAAAUGUGUUGAUGGCUGGACAUUGCAUCAUCCUAGAAAACUUGGAGGCCAGUGAGGACAAAAAUAAAAAGUUAUAAGACUUUUAAAUAUGUGGAUUUUAGGGUUAUCUUUGGCGCCCCCUAGAACCUAAACCGUGGGGUGCAGCGUCAUGAUUUGAAUAACUUUUAAUGGCCAUGGGGUGUAGAUUGGCCUGAGCAAAUGUGGUGCCGGUGGAACGAAAGCCUUCGGAGGAGUUAGCGAAAUUCCAAUGUGUGCGGAUCGGCAAAAAAUGCGGAAUAACCCUUUAACCGUACAUUUGACAGAUACGCGCGCAUUGACUUUUUCGUAGAUCUUAUUGAGAUACAUAUGUGUGUCAAUUUUUGUGUCAUUUUGCCAAAGCGUACAGGUGUUACACUCAACAAUGUGUAUUUUCACCUUAGGGGACAAGAAAAAAUGGACUUUUUUCUCCUGCCAUGGGGGGGCGCUCUUUUGGGGAGUAAAAAUUCCUUCACAAAUGUGUUGAUGGCUGGACAUUGCAUCAUCCUAGAAAACUUGGAGGCCAGUGAGGGCAAAAAUAAAAAGUUAUAAGACUUUUAAAUAUGUGGAUCUUAGGGUUAUCUUUGGCGCCCCCUAGAACCUAAACCGUGGGGUGCAGCGUCAUGAUUUGAAUAACUUUUAAUGGCCAUGGGGUGUAGAUUGGCCUGAGAAAAUGUGGUGCCGGUGGAACGAAAGCCUUCGGAGGAGUUAGCGAAAUUCCAAUGUGUGCGAAUCUGCAAAAAAUGCGAAAUAACCCUUUAACCGUACAUUUUACAGAUACGUGGCCAUUGACUUUUUCGAAGAUCUUAUUGAAAGACACGUGUAUGUAAAAUUUUGUGUCAAUACGACAAAACAUACAGGCGUAGCACUCAACAAUGUGUAUUUUCACCUUAGUGGACAAGAAAAAAUGGACUUUUUUCUCCUGCCAUGGGGGGGCGCUCUUUUGGCGAGUAAAAAUUCCUUCACAAAUGUGUUGAUGGCUGGACAUUGCAUCAUCCUAGAAAACUUGGAGGCCAGUGGGGACAAAAAUAAAAAGUUAUAAGACUUUUAAAUAUGUGGAUUUUACGGUUAUCUUUGGCGCCCCCUAGAACCUAAACCGUGGGGUGCAGCGUCAUGAUUUGAAUAACUUUUAAUGGCCAUGGGGUGUAGAUUGGCCUGAGAAAAUGUGGUGCCGGUGGAACGAAAGCCUUCGGAGGAGUUAGCGAAAUUCCAAUGUGUGCGGAUCGGCAAAAAAUGCGGAAUAACCCUUUAACCGUACAUUUGACAGAUACGUGCGCAUUGACUUUUUUGUAGAUCUUAUUGAGAUACAUGUGUGUCUCAAUUUUGGUGUCAUUUUGCCAAAGCGUACAGGUGUUACACUCAACAAUGUGUAUUUUCACCUUAGGGGACAAGAAAAAAUGGACUUUUUUCUCCUGCCAUGGGGGGGCGCUCUUUUGGGGAGUAAAAAUUCCUUCACAAAUGUGUUGAUGGCUGGACAUUGCAUCAUCCUAGAAAACUUGGAGGCCAGUGAGGGCAAAAAUAAAAAGUUAUAAGACUUUUAAAUAUGUGGAUCUUAGGGUUAUCUUUGGCGCCCCCUAGAACCUAAACCGUGGGAUGCAGCGUCAUGAUUUGAAUAACUUUUAAUGGCCAUGGGGUGUAGAUUGGCCUGAGCAAAUGUGGUGCCGGUGGAACGAAAGCCUUCGGAGGAGUUAGCGAAAUUCCAAUGUGUGCGGAUCGGCAAAAAAUGCGAAAUAACCCUUUAACCGUACAUUUGACAGAUACGGCCGCACUGACUUUUCUGUAGAUCUUAUUGAGAUACAUGUGUGUGUCAAUUUUUGUGUCAUUUUGACAAAGCGUACAGGCGUGACAGUCAAUAGUGUGAAUUUUCACCUUAGGGGGCGCUAUGGAGCCAUUUUGCAUUUUCUUGUUUGGGCGACUUCGGAAUAUCAAAUUUUUCACCAGGCCCGGUCGUCCUGCCAAAUUUCAUGAGUUUUCGCCAGUGGGAAGUGGGCCAUUUUCCAGUUCAAAGGGGAGGAAAAAUAAUAAUAAUAACAAAAGAAGGAAACAUGCAGGAACAAGAGGGCUCUCGCAGCUGCUUAGCAGCUACGCUCGGGCCCUAAUAAUAACAAAAGAAGGAAACUACAGGAACAAGAGGGCUCUCGCAGCUGCUUAGCAGCUACGCUCGGGCCCUAAAGAAGGAAACUACAGGAACAAGAGGGCUCUCGCAGCUGCUUAGCAGCUACGCUCGGGCCCUAAAGAAAGAAAGAAACAACUAGGACCCCGUUGGGGCACUGGCGGGCCCGAGCCGUGUCGGCCCCCCCCCCCCCCCAACGUGCUGCCUCCCCGUCCCAUUUGUGUCCUCUGGCCAUCGCCCUCUCUUGUAACGCCCAUCACUGCAAAGACCCUUUUCCUUCAUCGGCGUUUGCUGUUCUUCCUGCCAGUGCGUGUUGCUUUCACUUACACUUGCCACAGCCAGCCUCGUGAGUGCCUAGCCUAUUCGAUAUCCCUGUCACCUACACAGGACAGUCAUUACCUUUCUAUUAAUACUUUGUGUUUUAAUUUCACAUUAAUUUCCAUAUUGUAUAAACGACUGGAAAAAACUUGAGCCCCUGCCCCUGUAUAAUCAUGUGCAUGUCUCUGUUCUAGCUCCAAGGUGAAUCUUCACUGCUCAUGUUCUCCUCAGAAGCACUCACCUCACUCCCCUCAGGUUACUGUACACAUGCACCAACUGCCUGCUUCAGGUUUGGAUGGAGCUUCAUGGUUGUCUUUUGGAGAAAUGACCAGUCAAGUUGUGUUUGAAAUUUGAUUUUUUUUUCAGGGGCAAAAGGAGCCUCUGCAUUCUUGUCAAAUAUGUAAAUAGCAUGUUUUUGCAGGUGCUAAAAACCAGACUCUGAGUGUGUGUGUGUGUGUGUGUGUGUGUGUGUGUGUGUGUGUGCGUGUGUGUGUGUGUCUGUGUGUGCGUUCAAGUCACAUGACAUAUUUAACCGGAUGUAGCUGCAAGACGGAGCCUCGUUGACUCUCCGUUUCAACUUAUCUCAAAAGUGAGGACCUCAACCUAUAUACCAGUUUUUAAAUUGUGUUGAUAGGCCAAAUAAAACCAGAGUUAUGAUAAAUUAUGUCCGCGAUACUUUUUUUCUGCUUAUUUUGAUCACGUUCGGCGCUCGAUCGCGCUGUAUGAGACAGGAAAACAUAGCAUGCAGACAUUAGCGACAGGUCUUACAGGCGGAAAAGGCUUGCCAAAAAAAAAAAAAAACACACCACAACAUCUCUCCUAUUGGUGGAAAACUUCACCACAACAACCAAUCCAAAAUUAUAUGGUGACUGAUUGACAAGGGGAGGGUGCUUACGUUCUUCCUGCAACAUGAGAAGGGAGGGAGGGACUCUCAGCAGGGAUGCAGUCUGGGACACGUAGUUGCAAACCUAGCGACUUUGUUGUUAGAUUCAAUGACUUUUCAGACCCCCUAACGACUUUUUUUAGAAAGAAAGGGACUUUUAUCGACUUCUUCUGGAGUUUAGAGACUCUGACAUGAAGCAGGCUUUCCUUACUGAGGAGUUAGCAACGCUGCUAAGGGUGCAGAGCCACACAUGCGCUCAGAGCUCUGCAUGGGAGACUGAAGCUGACAGAGCUGCAGCAGUUAGCAGGUUUCACCCUCAGAGACCACCAGGGGUUCAUGUUGAGGCAUUUUAAUUUUUUUUUUUUUGUGCCAUAGACACUGUCAGCACAAUCUGCAGUUACACUAACAAAAAUGCUGCAAAAAACAAAGAAUUAUGGAAAAAUUACACAUGGACUGACAUAGAGGAGGAUCUACACAAGUUUUUUACAUCAUGUUUUACAUCAUGCAUCAUUUACAUCAUGUUUUUUUGUAGUGGCAUAAAUAAAAAGUGACAUUUGUGAGACUAUACAGUGUUUUGUAAAUAAUUUUACAAAGAACGCCUGGGCCAUUGCCUGCAUUUUGAUGUAAAUAGAGGUAAAUUACUAUGUUCUUUGUUAAAAAUUUGCAUAUGUUUUGAAGUUUACAAUUUUUAUUUGAAGUUUAAGUUUUAAAAACAGUUCAUCACACAUAUUUGUGGUUUAAUUUCACAUUAAUUUCCAUAUUGUAUAAAUGACUGGAAAAAACUUGAGCCCCUGCCCCUGUAUAAUCAUGUGCACGUCCCUGUUCUAGCUCCAAGGUGAAUCUUCACUGCUCAUGUUCUCCUCAGAAAUAGUCACCUCACUCCCCUCAGGUUACUGUACACAUGCACCAACUAUCUGCUUCAGGUUUGAAAUGGAGCUUCAUGGUUGUCUUUUGGAGAAAUGAACAGUCAAGUUGUGUUUGAAAUUUGAUUUUUUUCAGGGGCAAAAGGAAGCCUCUGCAUUCUUGUCAAAUAUGUAAACAGCAUGUUUUUGCAGGUGCUAAAAAACAGACUCUGAGUGUGUGUGUGUGUCUGUGUGUGUGUGUGUGUGUGUGUGUGUGAGUGUGUGUGUAUGUUGGCGUGUGUGUAUAUGUGUGUGUAUCCUGCAGUACUCUGUACUCCUGCAGUGGCCAAAAAGACUUUUAAGAAUGUGGAUUUUUGGGUCAUCUUUGGCGCCCCCUAGAACUGCAGUACUCUGUACUCCUGCAGUGGCCAAAAUGACUUUUAAGAAUGUGGAUUUUUGGGUCAUCUUUGGCGCCCCCUAGAACGUAAACCGUGGGGUGCAGCGUCAUGAUUUUUACAACUUUGAAUGGGCAUGGGGUGUAGAUUGCCCUGAGCAAAUUUGGUAUCGGUGGGACGAAAGCCUUAGGAGGAGAUAGCCACAUUCCAAUGUGUGCGAAUCGGCAAAAAAUGCAAAAUAGCCCUUUAACCGUACAUUAUACAGAUACGCGCUCUUUGACUUUUUCGUAGAUCUAAUUGAGAUACACAUGAUUGUCAAUUUUUGUGUCAAUAUGACAAAGCGUUCAGGCGUGACACUCAACAAUGUGUAUUUUUAUGUAAGGGGACAAGAAAAAAUUGACUUUUUUCUCCUACCAUGGGGGGGCGCUCUUUUGGGGAGUAAAAAUUCCUUCACAAAUGUGUUGAUGGCUGGACAUUGCAUCAUCCUAGAAAACUUGGAGGCCAGUGAGGACAAAAAUAAAAAGUUAUAAAACAUUUAAGAAUGUGGAUUUUUGGGUUAUUUUUGGCGCCCCCUAGAACCUAAACCAUGGGGUGCAGCAUCAUGAUUUGAAUAACUUUUAAUGGCCAUGGGGUGUAGAUUGGCCUGAGCAAAUGUGGUGCCGGUGGAACGAAAGCCUUCGGAGGAGUUAGCCACAUUCCAAUGUGUGCGUAUCGGCAAAAAAUGCGGAAUAACCCUUUAACUGUACAUUUGACAGAUACGCGCGCAUGGACUUUUUUGUAGAUCUUAUUGAGUUACAUGUGUGUGUCAAUUUUUGUGUCAUUUUGACAAAGCGUAUAGGCGUGACACUCAACAAUGUGUAUUUUCACCUUAGGGGACAAGAAAAAAUGGACUUUUUUCUCCUGCCAUGGGGGGCGCUCUUUUGGGGAGUAAAAAUUCCUUCACAAAUGUGUUGAUGGCUGGACAUUGCAUCAUCCUAGAAAACUUGGAGGCCAGUGAGGACAAAAAUAAAAAGUUAUAAGACUUUUAAAUAUGUAGAUUUUAGUGUUAUCUUUGGCGCCCCCUAGAACCUAAACCUUGGGGUGCAGCGUCAUGAUUUUGAUAACUUUUAAUGGCCACGGGGUGUAGAUUGGCCUGAGCAAAUGUGGUGCCGGUGGAACGAAAGCCUUCGGAGGAGUUAGCGAAAUUCCAAUGUGUGCGGAUCGGCAAAAAAUGCGAAAUAACCCUUUAACCGUAAUUUUGACAGAUACGGCCGCACUGACUUUUUUGUAGAUCUUAUUGAGAUACAUAUGUGUGUCAAUUUUUGUGUCAAUAUGACAAAGCGUACAGGCGUGACAGUCAAUAGUGUGAAUUUCCACCUUAGGGGGCGCUAUGGAGCCAUUUUGCAUUUUAUUGUUUGGGCGACUUCAGAAUAUCGAAUUUUUCACCAGGCCCGGUCGUCCUGCCAAAUUUCAUGAGUUUUCGCCAGUGGGAAGUGGGCCAUUUUCCAGUUCAAAGGGGAGGAAAAAGAAGAAAGAAAGAAAGAACUAGGGCCCCGUUGGGGCACUGGCGGGCCCGAGCCAUGUCGCACCCCCCCCCCCCAACGCGCUGCCUCCCCGUCCCAUUCGUGUCCUCUGGCCAUCGCCCUCUCUGGUAACGCCCAUCACUGCAAAGACCCUUUUCCUUCAUCGGCGUUUGCUGUUCUUCCUGCCAGUGCAUGUUGCUUUCACUUACACUUGCCACAGCCAGCCUCGUGAGUGCCUAGCCUAUUGGAUAUCACUGUCACCUACACAGGACAGUCAUACUUUGUUUUUUAAUUUCACAUUAAUUUCCAUAUUGUAUAAACGACUGGAAAAAACUUGAGCCCCUGCCCCUGUAUUAUCAUGUGCACGUCCCUGUUCUAGCUCCAAGGUGAAUCUUCACUGCUCAUGUUCUCCUCAGAAGCAGUCACCUCACUCCCCUCAGGUUACUGUACACAUGCACCAACUGCCUGCUUCAGGUUUGGAUGGAGCUUCAUGGUUGUCUUUUGGAGAAAUGAGCAGUCAAGUUGUGUUUGAAAUUUGAUUUUUUUCAGGGGCAAAAGGAAGCCUCUGCAUUCUUGUCAAAUAUGUAAAUAGCAUGUUUUUGCAGGUGCUAAAAAACAGACUCUGAGUGUGUGUGUGUGUGUGCGUGUGUGUGUGUGUGUCUGUGUGUGUGUGUGUGUGUGUAUCCUGCAGUACUCUGAGAAGAAUAAUAAGCAUAUUUCUGAGGUGAAUUUUGAAGAUUCAUCUGAGAGUUAGGUUUGAUUUGAUUCGAUUGACGCUCCCCAGCGUUCAAGUCACAUGACAUAUUUAACCGGAUGUAGCUGCAAGACGGAGCCUCGUUAACUCUCCGUUUCAACUUAUCUCAAAAGUGAGGACCUCAACCUAUAUACCAGUUUUUAAAUUGUGUUGAUAGGCCAAAUAAAACCAGAGUUAUGAUAAAUUAUGUCCGCGAUACUUUUUUUCUGCUUAUUUUGAUCACGUUCGGCGCUCGAUCGCGCUGUAUGAGACAGGAAAACAUAGCAUGCACACAUUAGCGACAGGUCUUACAGGCGGAAAAGGCUUGCCAAAAGAAAAAAGAAACACACCACAACAUCUCUCCUAUUGGUGGAAAACUUCACCACAGCAACCAAUCCAAAAUUAUAUGGUGACUGAUUGACAAGGGGCGGGCGCUUACGUUCUUCCUGCAACAUGAGAAGGGAGGGAGGGACUCUCAGCAGGGAUGCAGUCUGGGACACGUAGUUGCAAACCUAGCGACUUUGUUGUUAGAUUCAAUGACUUUUCAGACCCCCUAACGACUUUUUUUUAGAAAGAAAGGGACUUUUAUCGACUUCUUCUGGAGUUUAGAGACUCUGACAUGAAGCAGGCUUUCCUUACUGAGGAGUUAGCAACGCUGCUAAGGGUGCAGAGCCACACAUGCGCUCCGAGCUCUGCAUGGGAGACUGAAGCUGACAGAGCUGCAGCAGUUAGCAGGUUUCACCCUCAGAGACCACCAGGGGUUCAUGUUGAGGCAUUUUCAGUUUUUGUUUUUUUUGCCAUAGACUGUCAGCACAAUCUGCAGUUACACUAACAAAAAUGCUGCAAAAAACAAAGAAUUAUGGAAAAAUUACACAUGGACUGACAUAGAGGAGGAUCUACACAAGUUUUUUACAUCAUGUUUUACAUCAUGCAUCAUUUACAUCAUGUUUUUUUGUAGUGGCAUAAAUAAAAAGUGACAUUUGUGAGACUAUACAGUGUUUUGUAAAUAAUUUUACAAAGAACGCCUGGGCCAUUGCCUGCAUUUUGAUGUAAAUAGAGGUAAAUUACUAUGUUCUUUGUUAAAAAUUUGCAUAUGUUUUGAAGUUUACAAUUUUUAUUUGAAGUUUAAGUUUUAAAAACAGUUCAUCACACAUAUUUGUGUUUUAAUUUCACAUUAAUUUCCAUAUUGUAUAAAUGACUGGAAAAAACUUGAGCCCCUGCCCCUGUAUAAUCAUGUGCACGUCCCUGUUCUAGCUCCAAGGUGAAUCUUCACUGCUCAUGUUCUCCUCAGAAAUAGUCACCUCACUCCCCUCAGGUUACUGUACACAUGCACCAACUAUCUGCUUCAGGUUUGGAUGGAGCUUCAUGGUUGUCUUUUGGAGAAAUGAACAGUCAAGUUGUGUUUGAAAUCUGAUUUUUUUCAGGGGCAAAAGGAAGCCUCUGCAUUCUUGUCAAAUAUGUAAACAGCAUGUUUUUGCAGGUGCUAAAAAACAGACUCUGAGUGUGUGUGUGUGUGUGUGUGUGUGUGUGUGUGUGUGUGUGUGUGUGUGUGUGUGUGUGUAUAUGUGUGUGUAUCCUGCAGUACUCUGUACUCCUGCAGUGGCCAAAAAGACUUUUAAGAAUGUGGAUUUUUGGGUCAUCUUUGGCGCCCCCUAGAACUGCAGUACUCUGUACUCCUGCAGUGGCCAAAAUGACUUUUAAGAAUGUGGAUUUUUGGGUCAUCUUUGGUGCCCCCUAGAACGUAAACCGUGGGGUGCAGCGUCAUGAUUUUUACAACUUUUAAUGGCCAUGGGGUGUAGAUUGGCCUGAGCAAAUUUGGUGUCAGUGGGACGAAAGCUGUAGGACGAGUUAGCCACAUACCAAUGUGUGCGAAUCAGCAAAAAAUGCAAAAUAGCCCUUUAACCGUACAUUUUACAGAUACGUGCCCAUUGACUUUUUCGUAGAUCUUAUUGAGAUACAUGUGUGUGUCAAUUUUUGUGUCAAUAUGACAAAGCGUACAGGCGUGACAGUCAACAAUGUGUAUUUUCACCUUAGGGGACAAGAAAAAAUGGACUUUUUUCUCCUGCCAUGGGGGGGGCGCUCUUUUGGGGAGUAAAAAUUCCUUCACAAAUGUGUUGAUGGCUGGACAUUGCAUCAUCCUAGAGAACUUGGAGGCCAGUGAGGAAAAAACUAAAAAGUUAUAAGACUUUUAAGAAUGUGGAUUUUUUGGUUAUCUUUGGCGCCCCCUAGAACGUAAACCGUGGGGUGCAGCGUCAUGAUUUGUACAACUUUCGAUGGCCAUGGGGUGUAGAUUGGCCUGAGCAAAUGUGGUGCCGGUGGAACGAAAGCCUUCGGAGGAGUUAGCGAAAUUUCAAUGUGUGCGGAUCGGCAAAAAAUGCGAAAUAACCCUUUAACCGUACAUUUGACAGAUACGCCCGCACUGACUUUUCUGUAGAUCUUAUUGAGAUACAUGUGUGUGUCAAUUUUUGUAUCAAUAUGACAAAGCGUACAGGCGUGACAGUCAAUAGUGUGAAUUUUCACCUUAGGGGGCGCUAUGGAGCCAUUUUGCAUUUUAUUGUUUGGGCGACAUCAGAAUAUCGAAUUUUUCACCAGGCCCGGUCGUCCUGCCAAAUUUCCUGAGUUUUCGCCAGUGGGAAGUGGGCCAUUUUCCAGUUUAAAGCGGAGGAAAAAUAAUAACUAGGACCCCGUUGGGGCACUGUCGGGCCCGAGCCGUGUCGCGCCGCCCCCAGUGCGACCGCCUCCCCCUCCCGAUCGCGUCACACUCAAGAUCCAAAGAUGGUGUGCGCACUUGUCUGUGGUCAUUUCCUAUUAUAAUGAAUGGGAGGCGCAGUUUCUACCAAAACACUCGCUGCAGACAAACUUCAUGUCCUAUUUGAAAAAAGUCUGGACCAUGAGUGAGGGCACAAACACAGCUAUGAUAUAUCGAAAUGGCAGGUUGCUCCUCCUUACGGUGUUGCCUGGAGAGCGAUGCGAUUGAGCCAUUGAGCGAUGGGCAGGAAAAACUUAACUUUUUCUCCUGCCAUAUGGGGGGGGGGGGGGGGGAUGUGGAUUCUUUGAAGAAUGUGGAUUUUUGGGUCAUCUUUGGCGCCCCCUAGAACGUAAACCGUGGGGUGCAGCGUCAUGAUUUUUACAACUUUGAAUGGCCAUGGGGUGUAGAUUGGCCUGAGCAAAUUUGGUGUCAGUGGGACGAAAGCCUUAGGAGGAGUUAGCCACAUUCCAAUGUGUGCGAAUCGGCAAAAAAUGCAAAAUAGCCCUUUAACCGUACAUUUGACAGAUACGCGCGAAUCGACUCUUUUGUAGAUCUUAUUGAGAUACAUAUGUGUGUCAAUUUUUGUGUCAAUAUGAUAAAGCGUACAGGCGUGACAGUCAAUAGUGUGAAUUUCCACCUUAGGGGACAAGAAAAAAUUGGCUUUUUUUUCCUGCCAUGGGGGGGCGCUCUUUUGGGGAGUAAAAAUUCCUUCACAAAUGUGUUGAUGGCUGGACAUUGCAUCAUCCUAGAAAACUUGGAGGCCAGUGAGGACAAAAAUAAAAAGUUAUAAGACUUUUAAAUAUGUGGAUUUUAGGGUUAUCUUUGGCGCCCCCUAGAACCUAAACCGUGGGAUGCAGCGUCAUGAUUUGAAUAACUUUUAAUGGCCAUGGGGUGUAGAUUGGCCUGAGCAAAUGUGGUACCGGUGGAAUGAAAGCCUUCGGAGGAGUUAGCGAAAUUCCAAUGUGUGCGGAUCGGCAAAAAAUGCGGAAUAACCCUUUAACCGUACAUUUGACAGAUACGCGCGCAUUGACUUUUUCGUAGAUCUUAUUGAGAUACAUGUGUGUGUCAAUUUUUGUGUCAUUUUGCCAAAGCGUACAGGUGUUACACUCAACAAUGUGUAUUUUCACCUUAGGGGACAAGAAAAAAUGGACUUUUUUCUCCUGCCAUGGGGGGCGCUCUUUUGGGGAGUAAAAAUUCCUUCACAAAUGUGUUGAUGGCUGGACAUUGCAUCAUCCUAGAAAACUUGGAGGCCAGUGAGGGCAAAAAUAAAAAGUUAUAAGACUUUUAAAUAUGUGGAUCUUAGGGUUAUCUUUGGCGCCCCCUAGAACCUAAACCGUGGGGUGCAGCGUCAUGAUUUGAAUAACUUUUAAUGGCCAUGGGGUGUAGAUUGGCCUGAGCAAAUGUGGUGCCGGUGGAACGAAAGCCUUCGGAGGAGUUAGCGAAAUUCCAAUGUGUGCGGAUCGGCAAAAAAUGCGAAAUAACCCUUUAACCGUACAUUUGACAGAUUCGCCCGCACUGACUUUUUUGUAGAUCUUAUUGAGAUACAUGUGUGUGUCAAUUUUUGUGUCAUUUUGACAAAGCGUACAGGCGUGACAGUCAAUAGUGUGAAUUUUCACCUUAGGGGGCGCUAUGGAGCCAUUUUGCAUUUUCUUGUUUGGGCGACUUCGGAAUAUCAAAUUUUUCACCAGGCCCGGUCGUCCUGCCAAAUUUCAUGAGUUUUCGCCAGUGGGAAGUGGGCCAUUUUCCAGUUCAAAGGGGAGGAAAAAUAAUAAUAAUAACAAAAGAAGGAAACUACAGGAACAAGAGGGCUCUCGCAGCUGCUUAGCAGCUACGCUCGGGCCCUAAAGAAAGAAAGAAAGAAACAAAGAAAAACCACUUGGGGAAUAAUAGGGCCUACGCCCGGCUGCUCUGCAGCUGGCUCGGGCCCUAAAGACUAGGACCCCGUUGGGGCACUGGCGGGCCCGAGCUGUGUCGCGUCCCCCCCCCCCAACGCGCUGCCUCCCCGUCCCAUUUGUGUCCUCUGGCCAUCGCCCUCUUUGGUAACGCCCAUCACUGCAAAGACCCUUUUCCUUCAUCGGCGUUUGCUGUUCUUCCUGCCAGUGCGUGUUGCUUUCACUUACACUUGCCACAGCCAGCCUCGUGAGUGCCUAGCCUAUUGGAUAUCACUGUCACCUACACAGGACAGUCAUUACCUUUCUAUUAAUACUUUGUUUUUUAAUUUCACAUUAAUUUCCAAAUUGUAUAAACGACUGGAAAAAACUUGAGCCCCUGCCCCUGUAUAAUCAUGUGCACGUCUCUGUUCUAGCUCUAAGGUAAAUCUUCACUGCUCAUGUUCUCCUCAGAAGCAGUCACCUCACUCCCCUCAGGUUACUGUACACAUGCACCAACUGCCUGCUUCAGGUUUGGAUGGAGCUUCAUGGUUGUCUUUUGGAGAAAUGACCAGUCAAGUUGUGUUUGAAAUUUGAUUUUUUUCAGGGGCAAAAGGAGCCUCUGCAUUCUUGUCAAAUAUGUAAAUAGCAUGUUUUUGCAGGUGCUACAAACCAGACUCUGAGUGUGUGUGUGUGCGUGUGUGUGUGUGUGUGUCUGUGUGUGUGUGUGUGUGUGCGUUCAAGUCACAUGACAUAUUUAACCGGAUGUAGCUGCAAGACGGAGCCUCGUUGACUCUCCGUUUCAAUUUAUCUCAAAAGUGAGGACCUCAACCUAUAUACCAGUUUUUAAAUUGUGUUGAUAGGCCUAAUAAAACCAGAGUUAUGAUAAAUUAUGUCCGCGCUACUUUUUUUCUGCUUAUUUUGAUCACGUUCGGCGCUCGAUCGCGCUGUAUGAGACAGGAAAACAUAGCAUGCAGACAUUAGCGACAGGUCUUACAGGCGGAAAAGGCUUGCCAAAGGAAAAAAAAAAACACACCACAACAUCUCUCCUAUUGGUGGAAAACUUCACCACAACAACCAAUCCAAAAUUAUAUGGUGACUGAUUGACAAGGGGCGGGAACUUAUGUUCUUCCUGCAAUAUGAGAAGGGAGGGAGGGACUCUCAGCAGGGAUGCAGUCUGGGACACGUAGUUGCAAACCUAGCGACUUUGUUGUUAGAUUCAAUGACUUUUCAGACCCCCUAACGACUUUUUUUUAGAAAGAAAGGGACUUUUAUCGACUUCUUCUGGAGUUUAGAGACUCUGACAUGAAGCAGGCUUUCCUUACUGAGGAGUUAGCAACGCUGCUAAGGGUGCAGAGCCACACAUGCGCUCCGGGCUCUGCAUGGGAGACUGAAGCUGACAGAGCUGCAGCAGUUAGCAGGUUUCACCCUCAGAGACCACCAGGGGUUCAUGUUGAGGCAUUUUCAGUUUUUUUUUUUUUUUUUGCCAUAGACACUGUCAGCACAAUCUGCAGUUACACUAACAAAAAUGCUGCAAAAAACAAAGAAUUAUGGAAAAAUUACACAUGGACUGACAUAGAGGAGGAUCUACACAAGUUUUUUACAUCAUGUUUUACAUCAUGCAUCAUUUACAUCAUGUUUUUUUGUAGUGGCAUAAAUAAAAAGUGACAUUUGUGAGACUAUACAGUGUUUUGUAAAUAAUUUUACAAAGAACACCUGGGCCAUUGCCUGCAUUUUGAUGUCAAUAGAGGUAAAUUACUAUGUUCUUUGUUAAAAAUUUGCAUAUGUUUUGAAGUUUACAAUUUUUAUUUGAAGUUUAAGUUUGAAAAACAGUUCAUCACACAUAUUUGUGGUUUAAUUUCACAUUAAUUUCCAUAUUGUAUAAAUGACUGGAAAAAACUUGAGCCCCUGCCCCUGUAUAAUCAUGUGCAUGUCUCUGUUCUAGCUCCAAGGUGAAUCUUCACUGCUCAUGUUCUCCUCAGAAAUAGUCACCUCACUCCCCUCAGGUUACUGUACACAUGCACCAACUAUCUGCUUCAGGUUUGAAAUGGAGCUUCAUGGUUGUCUUUUGGAGAAAUGAACAGUCAAGUUGUGUUUGAAAUUUGAUUUUUUUCAGGGGCAAAAGGAGCCUCUGCAUUCUUGUCAAAUAUGUAAACAGCAUGUUUUUGCAGGUGCUAAAAAACAGACUCUGAGUGUGUGUGUGUGUCUGUGUGUGUGUGUGUGUGUGUGUGUAUGUUGGCGUGUGUGUAUAUGUGUGUGUAUCCUGCAGUACUCUGUACUCCUGCAGUGGCCAAAAAGACUUUUAAGAAUGUGGAUUUUUGGGUCAUCUUUGGCGCCCCCUAGAACUGCAGUACUCUGUACUCCUGCAGUGGCCAAAAUGACUUUUAAGAAUGUGGAUUUUUGGGUCAUCUUUGGCGCCCCCUAGAACGUAAACCGUGGGGUGCAGCGUCAUGAUUUUUACAACUUUGUAUGGGCAUGGGGUGUAGAUUGCCCUGAGCAAAUUUGGUAUCGGUGGGACGAAAGCCUUAGGAGGAGAUAGCCACAUUCCAAUGUGUGCGAAUUGGCAAAAAAUGCAAAAUAGCCCUUUAACCGUACAUUAUACAGAUACGCAAUCUUUGACUUUUUCGUAGAUCUAAUUGAGAUACACAUGAUUGUCAAUUUUUGUGUCAAUAUGACAAAGCGUUCAGGCGUGACACUCAACAAUGUGUAUUUUCAUGUAAGGGGACAAGAAAAAAUUGACUUUUUUCUCCUGCCAUGGGGGGGCGCUCUUUUGGGGAGUAAAAAUUCCUUCACAAAUGUGUUGAUGGCUGGACAUUGCAUCAUCCUAGAAAACUUGGAGGCCAGUGAGGACAAAAAUAAAAAGUUAUAAGACUUUUAAAAAUGUGGAUUUUUGGGUUAUCUUUGGCGCCCCCUAGAACCUAAACCGUGGGGUGCAGCGUCAUGAUUUGAAUAACUUUUAAUGGCCAUGGGGUGUAGAUUGGCCUGAGCAAAUGUGGUGCCGGUGGAACGAAAGCCUUCGGAGGAGUUAGCGAAAUUCCAAUGUGUGCGGAUCGGCAAAAAAUGCGAAAUAACCCUUUAACCGUACAUUAGACAGAUACGCGCGCAUGGACUUUUUUGUAGAUCUUAUUGAGAUACAUGUGUGUGUCAAUUUUUGUGUCAUUUUGACAAAGCGUACAGGCGUGACAGUCAAUAGUGUGAAUUUUCACCUUAGGGGACAAGAAAAAAUGGACUUUUUUCUCCUGCCAUGGGGGGGCGCUCUUUUGGGGAGUAAAAAUUCCUUCACAAAUGUGUUGAUGGCUGGACAUUGCAUCAUCCUAGAAAACUUGGAGGCCAGUGAGGGCAAAAAUAAAAAGUUAUAAGACUUUUAAAUAUGUGGAUUUUAGGGUUAUCUUUGGCGCCCCCUAGAACCUAAACCGUGGGGUGCAGCGUCAUGAUUUGAAUAACUUUUAAUGGCCAUGGGGUGUAGAUUGGCCUGAGCAAAUGUGGUGCCGGUGGAACGAAAGCCUUCGGAGGAGUUAGCGAAAUUCCAAUGUGUGCGGAUCGGCAAAAAAUGCGAAAUAACCCUUUAACCGUACAUUUGACAGAUACGCCCGCACUGACUUUUUUGUAGAUCUUAUUGAGAUACAUGUGUGUGUCAAUUUUUGUGUCAUUUUGACAAAGCGUACAGGCGUGACAGUCAAUAGUGUGAAUUUUCACCUUAGGGGGCGCUAUGGAGCCAUUUUGCAUUUUCUUGUUUGGGCGACUUCGGAAUAUCAAAUUUUUCACCAGGCCCGGUCGCCCUGCCAAAUUUCAUGAGUUUUCGCCAGUGGGAAGUGGGCCAUUUUCCAGUUCAAAGGGGAGGAAAAAUAAUAAUAACAAACUAGGGCCCCGGUGGGGCACUGUCGGGCCCGAGCCGCGUCGCGCCGCCCCCAGCGCGACCGCCUCCCCCUCCCGAUCGCAUCACACUCAAGGUCCAAAGAUGGUGUGCGCACUUGUCUGUGGUCAUUUCCCAUUAUAAUGAAUGGGAGGCGCAGUUUCUACCAAAACGGUCGCUGCAGACAAACUACAUGUCCUAUUUGAAAAAAGUCUGGACCAUGAGUGAGGGCACAAACACAGCUAGGAUAUAUCCAAAUGGCAAGUUGCUCCUCCUUACGGUGUUGCCAGGAGAGCGAUGCGAUUGAGCCAUUGAGCGAUGGGCAGGGUUAACUGGACUUUUUCUCCUGCCUUGGGGGGGGGGGGGGGGGGGGGGGGGGGGAUGUGGAUUCUUUUAAGAAUGUGGAUAUUUGGGUCAUCUUUGGCGCCCCCUAGAACGUAAACCAUGGGGUGCAGCGGCAUGAUUUUUACAACUUUGAAUGGCCAUGGGAUGUAGAUCGGCUUGAGCAAAUUUGGUGUCGGUGGGAAGAAAGCCUUAGGAGGAGUUAGCCACAUUCCAAUGUGUGCAGAUCUGCAAAAAAUGCGAAAUAGCCCUUUAACCGUACAUUUUACAGAUACGUGCCCAUUGACUUUUUCGUAGAUCUUAUUGAGAUACACGUGUGUGUCAAAUUUUGUGUCAUUUUGACAAAGCGUAUAGGCGUGACAGUCAACAAUGUGUUUUUUCACCUUAGGGGACAAGAAAAAAUGGACAUUUUUCUCCUGCCAUGGGGGGGCGCUCUUUUCGGGAGUAAAAAUUCCUUUACAAAUGUGUUGAUGGCUGGACAUUGCAUCAUCCUAGAAAACUUGGAGGCCAGUGAGGACAAAAAUAAAAAGUUAUAAGACUAUUAAGAAUGUGGAUUUUUGGGUUAUCUUUGGCGCCCCCUAGAACCUAAACCGUGGAGUGCAACGUCAUGAUUUGUACAACUUUUAAUGGCCAUGGGGUGUAGAUUGGCCUGAGCAAAUUUGGUGGCGGUGGAACUAAAGCCUUCGGAGGAGUUAGUGAAAAUCCAAUGUGUGCGGAUCGGGAAAAAAUGCGAAAUAACCCUUUAACCGUACAUUUUACAGAUACGUGCCCAUUGACUUUUUCGUAGAUCUUAUUGAGAUACACGUGAUUGUCAAAUUUUGUGUCAAUAUGACAAAGCGUAUAGGCGUGACACUCAACAAUGUGUAUUUUCACCUUAGGGGACAAGAAAAAAUGGACUUUUUUCUCCUGCCAUGUGGGGGCGCUCUUUUGGGGAGUAAAAAUUCCUUCACAAAUGUGUUGAUGGCUGGACAUUGCAUCAUCCUAGAAAACUUGGAGGCCAGUGAGGGCAAAAAUAAAAAGUUAUAAGACUUUUAAGACUGUGGAUUUUUGGGUUAUCUUUGGCGCCCCCUAGAACGUAAACUGUGGGGUGCAGCGUCAUGAUUUGUACAACUUUUAAUGGCCAUGGGGUGUAGAUUGGCUUGAGCAAAUGUGGUGCCGGUGGAACGAAUGCCUUCGGAGGAGUUAGCCAAAUUCCAAUGUGUGCAGAUCGGCAAAAAAUGCGAAAUAACCCUCUAACCGUACAUUUCACAGAUGCGCCCGCGCUGACUUUUUCGUAGACCGUAUUGAGAUACACGUGUGUGUCAAUUUUUGUGUCAAUAUGACAAAGCGUACAGGCGUGACAGUCAAUAGUUUGAAUUUUCGCCUUAGGGGGCGCUAUGGAGCCAUUUUGCAUUUUAUUGUUUGGGCGACUUCAGAAUAUCGAAUUUUUCACCAGGCCCGGUCGUCCUGCCAAAUUUCAUGAGUUUUCGCCAGUGGGAAGUGGGCCAUUUUCCAGUUUAAAGCGGAGGAAAAAUAAUAACUAGGGCCCCGGUGGGGCACUGUCGGGCCCGAGCCGCGUCGCGCCGCCCCCAGCGCGACCGCCUCCUCCUCCCGAUCGCGUCACACUCAAGGUCCGAAGAUGGUGUGCGCACUUGUCUGUGGUCAUUUCCCAUUAUAAUGAAUGGGAGGCGCAGUUUCUACCAAAACGGUCGCUGCAGACAAACUACAUGUCCUAUUUGAAAAAAGUCUGGACCAUGAGUGAGGGCACAAACACAGCUAGGAUAUAUCCAAAUGGCAAGUUGCUCCUCCUUACGGUGUUGCCGGGAGAGCGAUGCGAUUGAGCCAUUGAGCGAUGGGCAGGGUUAACUUGACUUUUUCUCCUGCCUUGGGGGGGGGGGGGGAUCUAUUAAGAAUGUGGAUAUUUGGGUCAUCUUUGGCGCCCCCUAGAACGUAAACCGUGGGGUGCAGCGGCAUGAUUUUUACAACUUUGAAUGGCCAUGGGAUGUAGAUCGGCUUGAGCAAAUUUGGUGUCGGUGGGACGAAAGCCUUCGGAGGAGUUAGCGAAAUUCCAAUGUGUGCGGAUCGGCAAAAAAUGCGAAAUAGCCCUUUAACGGUACAUUUGACAGAUACGCCCGCACUGACUUUUUUGUAGGUCUUAUUGAGAUACACAUGUGUGUCAAAUUUUGUGUCAUUUUGACAAAGCGUACAGGCGUCAGGUGAAUUUUCACCAUAGGGGGCGCUAUGGAGCCAUUUUUCAUUUUUUUGUUUGGGCGACUUCAGAAUAUCAAAUUUUUCACCAGGCCCGGUCGUCCUGCCAAAUUUCCUGAGUUUUCGCCAGUGGGAAGUGGGCCAUUUUCCAGUUUAAAGCGGAGGAAAAAUAACGAAAGAAGAAUCCAUCAGGAACAAGAGGGCUCUCGCAGCUGCUUAGCAGCUACGCUCGGGCCCUAACUAGGGCCCCGUUGGGGCACUGGCGGGCCCGAGCCGUGUCGCGCCGCCCCCCCCCCCAACGCGCUGCCUCCCCGUCCCAUUCGUGUCCUCUGGCCAUCGCCCUCUCUGGUAACGCCCAUCACUGCAAAGACCCUUUUCCUUCAUCGGCGUUUGCUGUUCUUCCUGCCAGUGCGUGUUGCUUUCACUUACACUUGCCACAGCCAGCCUCGUGAGUGCCUAGCCUAUUGGAUAUCACUGUCAUCUACACAGGACAGUCAUUACCUUUCUAUUAAUACUUUGUUUUUUAAUUUCACAUUAAUUUCCAUAUUGUAUAAAUGACUGGAAAAAACUUGAGCCCCUGCCCCUGUAUAAUCAUGUGCACGUCCCUGUUCUAGCUCCAAGGUGAAUCUUCACUGCUCAUGUUCUCCUCAGAAGUAGUCACCUCACUCUCCUCAGGUUACUGUACACAUGCACCAACUGCCUGCUUCAGGUUUGGAUGGAGCUUCAUGGUUGUCUUUUGGAGAAAUGACCAGUCAAGUUGUGUUUGAAAUUUGAUUUUUUUUCAGGGGCAAAAGGAGCCUCUGCAUUCUUGUCAAAUAUGUAAAUAGCAUGUUUUUGCAGGUGCUAAAAAACAGACUCUGAGUGUGUCUGUGUGUGUGUGUAUGUGUGUGUGUGUGUGUGUGUGUGUGUGUGUGUGUCUGUGUGUGUGUAUAUAUCUUGCAGUACUCUGAGAAGAAUAAUAAGCAUAUUUCUGCGGUGAAUUUUGAAGAUUCAUCUGAGAGUUAGGAGGGCUGAUCAUUCCCUUACCCUUUAGAUGUCUGUCUAUGUCUGUUUUUGUGUGAUAAUGAAAGAAUCCCAACUCAAAAAGGCUCUGUUGAUGUUUUUUUUUUGUUGUUCAUUCAUAUUCAAACCACUAUUUUAUAUCACUGCUAAUACGCCAAGACCAUUUUAUGGUAUUUAGCUUUAUUAUUUCUAUACAUUUUGCAAGGAAAGAAACCAAGGCCUUCACUAAAAUUUCCAUAAACUUUAGGAAAGGACCUCUGGUUGUUUAAGGGGGUCAUUACUGCAAAAAAAUAUUCUUCCUAAAUUUUGAAGGUCAAACCUUAGAUCCAUUAGGUUUAAAUAGAAAAAGCAUUAAAAUAUGUUAGGAUUAUAGCAUAUGACAAAUGUGUGCCUCUCAGUGGCAUAACUACUUUGUCUGCUGGCUCUGCAGUCGAUUGACGCUCCCCAGCGUUCAAGUCACAUGACAUAUUUAACCGGAUGUAGCUGCAAGACGGAGCCUCGUUCACCCUCCGUUUCAACUUAUCUCAAAAGUGAGGACCUCAAACUAUAUACCAGUUUUUAAAUUGUGUUGAUAGGCCAAAUAAAACCAGAGUUAUGAUAAAUUAUGUCCGCGAUACUUUUUUUCUGCUUAUUUUGAUCACGUUCGGCGCUCGAUCACGCUGUAUGAGACAGGAAAACAUAGCAUGCAGACAUUAGCGACAGGUCUUACAGGCGGAAAAGGCAUGCCAAAAGAAAAAAAAACACACCACAACAUCUCUCCUAUUGGUGGAAAACUUCACCACAACAACCAAUCCAAAAUUAUAUGGUGACUGAUUGACAAGGGGCGGGCGCUUACGUUCUUCCUGCAAUAUGAGAAGGGAGGGAGGAACUCUCAGCAGGGAUGCAGUCUGGGAAACGUAGUUGCAAACCUAGCGACUUUGUUGUUAGAUUCAAUGACUUUUCAGACCCCCUAACGACUUUUUUUUAGAAAGAAAGGGAAUUUUAUCGACUUCCUCUGGAGUUUAGAGACUCUGACAUGAAGCAGGCUUUCCUUACUGAGGAGUUAGCAACGCUGCUAAGGGUGCAGAGCCACACAUGCGCUCCGAGCUCUGCAUGGGAGACUAGAGCUGAGAGAGCUGCAGCAGUUAGCAGGUUUCACCCUCAGAGACCACCAGGAGUUCAUGUUGAGGCAUUUUUAGUUUUUUUUUUUUUUGCCAUAGACACUAUCAGCACAAUCUGCAGUUACACUAACAAAAAUGCUGCAAAAAACAAAGAAUUAUGGAAAAAUUACACAUGGACUGACAUAGAGGAGGAUCUACACAAGUUUUUUACAUCAUGUUUUACAUCAUGCAUCAUUUACAUCAUGUUUUUUUGUAGUGGCAUAAAUAAAAAGUGACAUUUGUGAGACUAUACAGUGUUUUGUAAAUAAUUUUACAAAGAACGCCUGGGCCAUUGCCUGCAUUUUGAUGUAAAUAGAGGUAAAUUACUAUGUUCUUUGUUAAAAAUUUGCAUAUGUUUUGAAGUUUACAAUUUUUAUUUGAAGUUUAAGUUUUAAAAACAGUUCAUCACUCAUAUUUGUGGUUUAAUUUCACAUUAAUUUCCAUAUUGUAUAAAUGACUGGAAAAAACUUGAGCCCCUGCCCCUGUAUAAUCAUGUGCACGUCCCUGUUCUAGCUCCAAGGUGAAUCUUCACUGCUCAUGUUCUCCUCAGAAGUAGUCACCUCACUCUCCUCAGGUUACUGUACACAUGCACCAACUAUCUGCUUCAGGUUUGGAUGGAGCUUCAUGGUUGUCUUUUGGAGAAAUGAACAGUCAAGUUGUGUUUGAAAUUUGAUUUUUUUCAGGGGCAAAAGGAAGCCUCUGCAUUCUUGUCAAAUAUGUAAACAGCAUGUUUUUGCAGGUGCUAAAAAACAGACUCUGAGUGUGUGUGUGUGUGUGUGUGUGUGUGUGUGUGUGUGUGUGUGUGUGUGUGUGUGUGUGUGUGUGUGUGUGUGUGUGUUGGUGUGUGUGUAUAUGUGUGUGUGUCCGGCAGUACUCUGUACUCCUGCAGUGGCCAAAAUGACUUUUAAGAAUGUGGAUUUUUGGGUCAUCUUUGGCGCCCCCUAGAACGUAAACCGUGGGGUGCAGCGUCAUGAUUUUUACAACUUUGAAUGGCCAUGGGGUGUAGAUUGCCCUGAGCAAAUUUGGUAUCGGUGGGACGAAAGCCUUAGGAGGAGAUAGCCACAUUCCAAUGUGUGCGAAUCGGCAAAAAAUGCGAAAUAGCCCUUUAACCAUACAUUUGACAGAUACGUGCCUAUUGACUUUUUUGUAGAUCUUAUUGAGAUACACGUGAUUGUCAAAUUGUGUGUCAAUAUGACAAAGUGUAUAGGCGUGACACUCAACAAUGUGUAUUUUUACCUUAGGAGACAAGAAAAAAUGGACUUUUUUCUCCUGCCAUGGGGGGGCGCUCUUUUGGGGAGUAAAAAUUCCUUCACAAAUGUGUUGAUGGCUGGACAUUGCAUCAUCCUAGAAAACUUGGAGGCCAGUGAGGACAAAAAUAAAAAGUUAUAAGACUUUUAAGAAUGUGGAUUUUUGUGUUAUCUUUGGCGCCCCCUAGAAAGUAAACCGUGGGGUGCAGCAUCAUGAUUUGUACAACUUUUAAUGGCCAUGGGGUGUAGAUUGGCCUGAGCAAAUUUGGUGCCGGUGGAACGAAAGCCUUCGGAGGAGUUAGCGAAAUUCCAAUGUGUGCGGAUUGGCAAAAAAAGCGAAAUAGCCCUUUAACCGUACAUUUGGCAGAUAUGCCCGCACUGACUUUUUCGUAGAUCUUAUUGAGAUACACAUGUGUGUCAAAUUUUGUGUCAUUUUGACAAAGCGUACAGGCAUCAGGUGAGUUUUCACCAUAGGGGGCGCUAUGGAGCCAUUUUUCAUUUUUUUGUUUGGGUGACUUCAGAAUAUCAAAUUUUUCACCAGGCCCGGUCGUCCUGCCAAAUUUCCUGAGUUUUCGCCAGUGGGAAGUGGGCCAUUUUCCAGUUUAAAGCGGAGGAAAAAUAACGAAAGAAGAAUCCAUCAGGAACAAGAGGGCUCUCGCAGCUGCUUAGCAGCUACGCUCGGGCCCUAAUAAUAAUAACACUAGGACCCCGUUGGGGCACUGGCGGGCCCGAGCCGUGUCGCGUCCCCCCCCCCCAACGUGCUGCCUCCCCGUCCCAUUUGUGUCCUCUGGCCAUCGCCCUCUCUGGUAACGCCCAUCACUGCAAAGACCCUUUUCCUUCAUCGGCGUUUGCUGUUCUUCCUGCCAGUGCGUGUUGCUUUCACUUACACUUGCCACAGCCAGCCUCGUGAGUGCCUAGCCUAUUGGAUAUCACUGUCACCUACACAGGACAGUAAUUACCUUUCUAUUAAUACUUUGUGUUUUAAUUUCACAUUAAUUUCCAUAUUGUAUAAACGACUGGAAAAAACUUGAGCCCCUGCCCCUGUAUAAUCAUGUGCAUGUCUCUGUUCUAGCUCCAAGGUGAAUCUUCACUGCUCAUGUUCUCCUCAGAAGCACUCACCUCACUCCCCUCAGGUUACUGUACACAUGCACCAACUGCCUGCUUCAGGUUUGGAUGGAGCUUCAUGGUUGUCUUUUGGAGAAAUGACCAGUCAAGUUGUGUUUGAAAUUUGAUUUUUUUCAGGGGCAAAAGGAGCCUCUGCAUUCUUGUCAAAUAUGUAAAUAGCAUGUUUUUGCAGGUGCUAAAAACCAGACUCUGAGUGUGUGUGUGUGUGUGUGUGUGUGUGUGUGUGUGUAUGUGUGUGUGUGUCUGUGUGUGCGUUCAAGUCACAUGACAUAUUUAACCGGAUGUAGCUGCAAGACGGAGCCUCGUUGACUCUCCGUUUCAACUUAUCUCAAAAGUGAGGACCUCAACCUAUAUACCAGUUUUUAAAUUGUGUUGAUAGGCCAAAUAAAACCAGAGUUAUGAUAAAUUAUGUCCGCGAUAUUUUUUUUCUGCUUAUUUUGAUCACGUUCGGCGCUCGAUCGCGCUGUAUGAGACAGGAAAACAUAGCAUGCAGACAUUAGCGACAGUUCUUACAGGCGGAAAAGGCUUGCCAAAAGAAAAAAAAAACACACCACAACAUCUCUCCUAUUGGUGGAAAACUUCACCACAACAACCAAUCCAAAAUUAUAUGGUGACUGAUUGACAAGGGGGGGCGCUUACGUUCUUCCUGCAACAUGAGAAGGGAGGGAGGGACUCUCAGCAGGGAUGCAGUCUGGGACACGUAGUUGCAAACCUAGCGACUUUGUUGUUAGAUUCAAUGACUUUUCAGACCCCCUAACGACUUUUUUUUAGAAAGAAAGGGACUUUUAUCGACUUCUUCUGGAGUUUAGAGACUCUGACAUGAAGCAGGCUUUCCAUACUGAGGAGUUAGCAACGCUGCUAAGGGUGCAGAGCCACACAUGCGCUCAGAGCUCUGCAUGGGAGACUGAAGCUGACAGAGCUGCAGCAGUUAGCAGGUUUCACCCUCAGAGACCACCACGGGUUCAUGUUGAGGCAUUAAAAAUUUUUUUUUUUUUUUGUGCCAUAGACACUGUCAGCACAAUCUGCAGUUACACUAACAAAAAUGCUGCAAAAAACAAAGAAUUAUGGAAAAAUUACACAUGGACUGACAUAGAGGAGGAUCUACACAAGUUUUUUACAUCAUGUUUUACAUCAUGCAUCAUUUACAUCAUGUUUUUUUGUAGUGGCAUAAAUAAAAAGUGACAUUUGUGAGACUAUACAGUGUUUUGUAAAUAAUUUUACAAAGAACGCCUGGGCCAUUGCCUGCAUUUUGAUGUAAAUAGAGGUAAAUUACUAUGUUCUUUGUUAAAAAUUUGCAUAUGUUUUGAAGUUUACAAUUUUUAUUUGAAGUUUAAGUUUUAAAAACAGUUCAUCACACAUAUUUGUAGUUUAAUUUCACAUUAAUUUCCAUAUUGUAUAAAUGACUGGAAAAAACUUGAGCCCCUGCCCCUGUAUAAUCAUGUGCACGUCCCUGUUCUAGCUCCAAGGUGAAUCUUCACUGCUCAUGUUCUCCUCAGAAAUAGUCACCUCACUCCCCUCAGGUUACUGUACACAUGCACCAACUAUCUGCUUCAGGUUUGAAAUGGAGCUUCAUGGUUGUCUUUUGGAGAAAUGAACAGUCAAGUUGUGUUUGAAAUUUGAUUUUUUUCAGGGGCAAAAGGAAGCCUCUGCAUUCUUGUCAAAUAUGUAAACAGCAUGUUUUUGCAGGUGCUAAAAACCAGACUCUGAGUGUGGGUGUGUGUCUGUGUGUGUGUGUGUGUGUGUGUGUGUGUGUGUGUGUGUAUGUUGGCGUGUGUGUAUAUGUGUGUGUAUCCUGCAGUACUCUGUACUCCUGCAGUGGCCAAAAAGACUUUUAAGAAUGUGGAUUUUUGGGUCAUCUUUGGCGCCCCCUAGAACUGCAGUACUCUGUACUCCUGCAGUGGCCAAAAUGACUUUUAAGAAUGUGGAUUUUUGGGUCAUCUUUGGCGCCCCCUAGAACGUAAACCGUGGGGUGCAGCGUCAUGAUUUUUACAACUUUGAAUGGGCAUGGGGUGUAGAUUGCCCUGAGCAAAUUUGGUAUCGGUGGGACGAAAGCCUUAGGAGGAGAUAGCCACAUUCCAAUGUGUGCGAAUCGGCAAAAAAUGCAAAAUAGCCCUUUAACCGUACAUUAUACAGAUACGCGCUCUUUGACUUUUUCGUAGAUCUAAUUGAGAUACACAUGAUUGUCAAUUUUUGUGUCAAUAUGACAAAGCGUUCAGGCGUGACACUCAACAAUGUGUAUUUUUAUGUAAGGGGACAAGAAAAAAUUGACUUUUUUCUCCUACCAUGGGGGGGCGCUCUUUUGGGGAGUAAAAAUUCCUUCACAAAUGUGUUGAUGGCUGGACAUUGCAUCAUCCUAGAAAACUUGGAGGCCAGUGAGGACAAAAAUAAAAAGUUAUAAAACAUUUAAGAAUGUGGAUUUUUGGGUUAUUUUUGGCGCCCCCUAGAACCUAAACCAUGGGGUGCAGCAUCAUGAUUUGAAUAACUUUUAAUGGCCAUGGGGUGUAGAUUGGCCUGAGCAAAUGUGGUGCCGGUGGAACGAAAGCCUUCGGAGGAGUUAGCGAAAUUCCAAUGUGUGCGUAUCGGCAAAAAAUGCGGAUUAACCCUUUAACUGUACAUUUGACAGAUACGCGCGCAUGGACUUUUUUGUAGAUCUUAUUGAGUUACAUGUGUGUGUCAAAUUUUGUGUCAUUUUGACAAAGCGUAUAGGCUUGACACUCAACAAUGUGUAUUUUCACCUUAGGGGACAAGAAAAAAUGGACUUUUUUCUCCUGCCAUGGGGGGGCGCUCUUUUGGGGAGUAAAAAUUCCUUCACAAAUGUGUUGAUGGCUGGACAUUGCAUCAUCCUAGAAAACUUGGAGGCCAGUGAGGACAAAAAUAAAAAGUUAUAAGACUUUUAAAUAUGUGGAUUUUAGUGUUAUCUUUGGCGCCCCCUAGAACCUAAACCUUGGGGUGCAGCGUCAUGAUUUUGAUAACUUUUAAUGGCCACGGGGUGUAGAUUGGCCUGAGCAAAUGUGGUGCCGGUGGAACGAAAGCCUUCGGAGGAGUUAGCGAAAUUCCAAUGUGUGCGGAUCGGCAAAAAAUGCGAAAUAACCCUUUAACCGUAAUUUUGACAGAUACGGCCGCACUGACUUUUUUGUAGAUCUUAUUGAGAUACAUAUGUGUGUCAAUUUUUGUGUCAAUAUGACAAAGCGUACAGACGUGACAGUCAAUAGUGUGAAUUUCCACCUUAGGGGGCGCUAUGGAGCCAUUUUGCAUUUUAUUGUUUGGGCGACUUCAGAAUAUCGAAUUUUUCACCAGGCCCGGUCGUCCUGCCAAAUUUCAUGAGUUUUCGCCAGUGGGAAGUGGGCCAUUUUCCAGUUCAAAGGGGAGGAAAAAGAAGAAAGAAAGAAACAAAGACUAGGGCCCCGGUGGGGCACUGUCGGGCCCGAGCCGCGUCGCGCCGCCCCCAUUGCGACCGCCUCCCCGUCCCGAUCGAGUCACAAUCAAGAACCAAAGAUGGUGUGCGCACUUGUCUGUGGUCAUUUCCCAUUAUAAUGAAUGGGAGGCGCAGUUUCUACCAAAACACUCGCUGCAGACAAACUUCAUGUCCUAUUUGAAAAAAGUCUGGACCAUGAGUGAGGGCACAAACACAGCUAUGAUAUAUCGAAAUGCCAGGUUGCUCCUCCUUACGGUGUUGCCUGGAGAGCGAUGCGAUUGAGCCAUUGAGCGAUGGGCAGGAAAAACUUGACUUUUUCUCCUGCCAUAGGGGGGGGGAUGUGGAUUCUUUUAAGAAUGUGGAUUUUUGGGUCAUCUUUGGCGCCCCCUAGAACGUAAACCGUGGGGUGCAGCGUCAUGAUUUUUACAACUUUGAAUGGCCAUGGGGUGUAGAUUGGCCUGAGCAAAUUUGGUGUCAGUGGGUCGAAAGCCUUAGGAGGAGUUAGCCACAUUCCAAUGUGUGCGAAUCGGCAAAAAAUGCAAAAUAGCCCUUUAACCGUACAUUUGACAGAUACGCGCGAAUUGACUUUUUUGUAGAUCUUAUUGAGAUACAUAUGUGUGUCAAUUUUUGUGUCAAUAUGAUAAAGCGUAGAGGCGUGACAGUCAAUAGUGUGAAUUUCCACCUUAGGGGACAAGAAAAAAUUGACUUUUUUCUCCUGCCAUGGGGGGGCGCUCUUUUGGGGAGUAAAAAUUCCUUCACAAAUGUGUUGAUGGCUGGACAUUGCAUCAUCCUAGAAAACUUGGAGGCCAGUGAGGACAAAAAUAAAAAGUUAUAAGACUUUUAAAUAUGUGGAUUUUAGGGUUAUCUUUGGCGCCCCCUAGAACCUAAACCGUGGGAUGCAGCGUCAUGAUUUGAAUAACUUUUAAUGGCCAUGGGGUGUAGAUUGGCCUGAGCAAAUGUGGUGCCGGUGGAACGAAAGCCUUCGGAGGAGUUAGCGAAAUUCCAAUGUGUGCGGAUCGGCAAAAAAUGCGGAAUAACCCUUUAACCGUACAUUUGACAGAUACGCGCGCAUUGACUUUUUCGUAGAUCUUAUUGAGAUACAUGUGUGUGUCAAUUUUUGUGUCAUUUUGCCAAAGCGUACAGGUGUUACACUCAACAAUGUGUAUUUUCACCUUAGGGGACAAGAAAAAAUUGAGUUUUUUCUCCUGCCAUGGGGGGGCGCUCUUUUGGGGAGUAAAAAUUCCUUCACAAAUGUGUUGAUGGCUGGACAUUGCAUCAUCCUAGAAAACUUGGAGGCCAGUGAGGGCAAAAAUAAAAAGUUAUAAGACUUUUAAAUAUGUGGAUCUUAGGGUUAUCUUUGGCGCCCCCUAGAACCUAAACCUUGGGGUGCAGCGUCAUGAUUUGAAUAACUUUUAAUGGCCAUGGGGUGUAGAUUGGCCUGAGUAAAUGUGGUGCCGGUGGAACGAAAGCCUUCGGAGGAGUUAGCGAAAUUCCAAUGUGUGCGGAUCGGCAAAAAAUGCGAAAUAACCCUUUAACCGUACAUUUGACAGAUACGCCCGCACUGACUUUUUUGUAGAUCUUAUUGAGAUACAUGUGUGUGUCAAUUUUUGUGUCAUUUUGACAAAGCGUACAGGCGUGACAGUCAAUAGUGUGAAUUUUCACCUUAGGGGGCGCUAUGGAGCCAUUUUGCAUUUUCUUGUUUGGGCGACUUCGGAAUAUCAAAUUUUUCACCAGGCCCGGUCGUCCUGCCAAAUUUCAUGAGUUUUCGCCAGUGGGAAGUGGGCCAUUUUCCAGUUCAAAGGGGAGGAAAAAUAAUAAUAACAAAAGAAGGAAACUACAGGAACAAGAGGGCUCUCGCAGCUGCUUAGCAGCUACGCUCGGGCCCUAAAAAACCCCUACAGGAAUAACAGGGCCUACGCCCGGCUGCUCUGCAGCUGGCUCGGGCCCUAAAAAGAAGAAUCCAUCAGGAACAAGAGGGCUCUCGCAGCUGCUUAGCAGCUACGCUCGGGCCCUAACUAGGACCCCGUUGGGGCACUGGUGGGCCCGAGCCGUGUCGCGUCCCCCCCCCCCAACGUGCUGCCUCCCCGUCCCAUUUGUGUCCUCUGGCCAUCGCCCUCUCUGGUAACGCCCAUCACUGCAAAGACCCUUUUCCUUCAUCGGCGUUUGCUGUUCUUCCUGCCAGUGCGUGUUGCUUUCACUUACACUUGCCACAGCCAGCCUCGUGAGUGCCUAGCCUAUUGGAUAUCACUGUCACCUACACAGGACAGUCAUUACCUUUCUAUUAAUACUUUGUUUUUUAAUUUCACAUUAAUUUCCAUAUUGUAUAAACAACUGGAAAAAACUUGAGCCCCUGCCCCUGUAUAAUCAUGUGCACGUCUCUGUUCUAGCUCUAAGGUGAAUCUUCACUGCUCAUGUUCUCCUCAGAAGCAGUCACCUCACUCCCCUCAGGUUACUGUGCACAUGCACCAACUGCCUGCUUCAGGUUUGGAUGGAGCUUCAUGGUUGUCUUUUGGAGAAAUGAGCAGUCAAGUUGUGUUUGAAAUUUGAUUUUUUUCAGGGGCAAAAGGAGCCUCUGCAUUCUUGUCAAAUAUGUAAAUAGCAUGUUUUUGCAGGUGCUAAAAACCAGACUCUGAGUGUGUGUGUGUGUGUGUGUGCGUGUGUGUGUGUGUCUGUGUGUGCGUUCAAGUCACAUGACAUAUUUAACCGGAUGUAGCUGCAAGACGGAGCCUCGUUGACUCUCCGUUUUAACUUAUCUCAAAAGUGAGGACCUCAACCUAUAUACCAGUUUUUAAAUUGUGUUGAUAGGCCAAAUAAAACCAGAGUUAUGAUAAAUUAUGUCCGCGAUACUUGUUUUCUGCUUAUUUUGAUCACGUUCGGCGCUCGAUCGCGCUGUAUGAGACAGGAAAACAUAGCAUGCAGACAUUAGCGACAGGUCUUACAGGCGGAAAAGGCUUGCCAAAGGAAAAAAAAAACACACCACAACAUCUCUCCUAUUGGUGGAAAACUUCACCACAACAACCAAUCCAAAAUUAUAUGGUGACUGAUUGAAAAGGGGCGGGCGCUUACGUUCUUCCUGCAAUAUGAGAAGGGAGGGAGGGACUCUCAGCAGGGAUGCAGUCUGGGACACGUAGUUGCAAACCUAGCGACUUUGUUGUUAGAUUCAAUGACUUUUCAGACCCCCUAACGACUUUUUUUUUAGAAAGAAAGGGACUUUUAUCGACUUCUUCUGGAGUUUUGAGACUCUGACAUGAAGCAGGCUUUCCUUACUGAGGAGUUAGCAACGCUGCUAAGGGUGCAGAGCCACACAUGCGCUCCGAGCUCUGCAUGGCAGACUGAAGCUGACAGAGCUGCAGCAGUUAGCAGGUUUCACCCUCAGAGACCACCAGGGGUUCAUGUUGAGGCAUUUUCAGUUUUUUUUUUUUUUUUGCCAUAGACACUGUCAGCACAAUCUGCAGUUACACUAACAAAAAUGCUGCAAAAAACAAAGAAUUAUGGAAAAAUUACACAUGGACUAACAUAGAGGAGGAUCUACACAAGUUUUUUACAUCAUGUUUUACAUCAUGCAUCAUUUACAUCAUGUUUUUUUUGUAGUGGCAUAAAUAAAAAGUGACAUUUGUGAGACUAUACAGUGUUUUGUAAAUAAUUUUACAAAGAACACCUGAGCCAUUGCCUGCAUUUUGAUGUAAAUAGAGGUAAAUUACUAUGUUCUUUGUUAAAAAUUUGCAUAUGUUCUGAAGUUUACAAUUUUUAUUUGAAGUUUAAGUUUUAAAAACAGUUCAUCACACAUAUUUGUGGUUUUCACAGUAAAAACGUUACUUUUUUCCACUCGGAUUUUAUGUUUUGUGUGUGAAUUUGGGUCCAAUGUGUAAAUAUAGUAUGUCAAAAUGAUAAAAUAACUGUAAAUUGACACAGGUGAGGUUGUGCUGAAAAAAAUGAUACCAGGCAAGGCAAGGUAAAAAUUUUGUAAGAGGAAAUAUAAAGGUAAAAUCUAAAGUAGUCAAAAACGGCCAAUAGUGACUCACAGACUCCAUAGACAAGUCCCUUUGGCGCCACUCAGUGGGCAAAACUACUUUGUCUACUGUAAUGUAUAUUUGGGUCAUCUUUGGCGCCCCCUAAAACGUAAACCGUGGGGUGCAGCGUCAUGAUUUUUACAACUUUGAAUGGCCAUGGAGUGUAGAUUGGCCUGAGCAAAUUUGGUGUCAGUGGGACGAAAGCCUUAGGAGGAGUUAGCGAAAUUCCAAUGUGUGCGAAUCGGCAAAAAAUGCAAAAUAGCCCUUUUGCCGUACAUUAUACAGAUACGCGCUCUUUGACUUUUUCGUAGAUCUAAUUGAGAUACACAUGAUUGUCAAUUUUUGUGUCAUUUUGCCAAAGCGUACAGGCGUGACAGUCAACAAUGUGUAUUUUCACCUUAGGGGACAAGAAAAAAUGGACUUUUUUCUCCUGCCAUGGGGGGGGCGCUCUUUUAGGAAGUAAAAAUUCCUUCACAAAUGUGUUGAUGGCUGGACAUUGCAUCAUCCUAGAAAACUUGGAGGCCAGUGAGGGCAAAAAUAAAAAGUUAUAAGACUUUUAAAAAUGUGGAUUUUUGGGUUAUCUUUGGCGCCCCCUAGAACGUAAACCGUAGGGUGCAGCGUCAUGAUUUGAAUAACUUUUAAUGGCCAUGGGGUGUAAUUUGGCCUGAGCAAAUGUGGUGCCGGUGGAACGAAAGCCUUCGGAGGAGUUAGCGAAAUUCCAAUGUGUGCGAAUCGGCAAAAAAUGCGGAAUAACCCUUUAACUGUACAUUUUACAGAUACGCGCGCAUUGACUUUUUUGUAGAUCUUAUUGAGAUACAUGUGUGUGUCAAUUUUUGUGUCAUUUUGACAAAGCGUACAGGCGUGACACUCAACAAUGUGUAUUUUCACUUAAGGGGACAAGAAAAAAUGGACUUUUUUCUCCUGCCAUGGGGGGGAACUCUUUUGGGGAGUAAAAAUUCCUUCACAAAUGUGUUGAUGGCUGGACAUUGCAUCAUCCUAGAAAACUUGGAGGCCAGUGAGGGCAAAAAUAAAAAGUUAUAAGACUUUUAAAAAUGUGGAUUUUAGGGUUAUCUUUGGCGCCCCCUAGAACCUAAACCGUGGGGUGCAGCGUCAUGAUUUGAAUAACUUUUAAUGGCCAUGGGGUGUAGAUUGGCCUGAGCAAAUGUGGUGCCGGUGGAACGAAAGCCUUCGGAGGAGUUAGCGAAAUUCCAAUGUGUGCGGAUCGGCAAAAAAUGCGAAAUAACCCUUUAACCGUACAUUUGACAGAUACGCCCGCACUGACUUUUUUGUAGAUCUUAUUGAGAUACAUGUGUGUGUCAAUUUUUGUGUCAUUUUGACAAAGCGUACAGGCGUGACAGUCAAUAGUGUGAAUUUUCACCUUAGGGGGCGCUAUGGAGCCAUUUUGCAUUUUCUUGUUUGGGCGACUUCGGAAUAUCAAAUUUUUCACCAGGCCCGGUCGUCCUGCCAAAUUUCAUGAGUUUUCGCCAGUGGGAAGUGGGCCAUUUUCCAGUUCAAAGGGGAGGAAAAAGAAGAAAGAAAGAAAGAAAGAAACAAAGAAAAACCCCUUGGGGAAUAAUAGGGCUCUCGCAGCUGCUUAGCAGCUACGCUCGGGCCCUAACUAGGGCCCCGUUGGGGCACUGGCGGGCCCGAGCCGUGUCACGCCUCCCCCACCCGAUCGCGUCACACUCAAGGUCCAAAGAUGGUGUGCGCACUUGUUUGUGGUCAUUUACCAUUAUAAUGAACGGGAGGCGCAGUUUCUACCAAAACGCUCGCUGCAGAAAAACUCCAUGUCCUAUUUGAAAAAAGUCUGGACCAUGAGUGAGGGCACAAACACAGCUAAGAUAUAUCCAAAUGGCAAGUUGCUCCUCCUUUCGCUUUUGCCGAGAGAGCAGUGCGUUUGAGCCAUUGAAUGAUGAACAGGAAAAACUUGACUUUAUUCUCCUGCCAUGGGGGGGCGCUCUUUUAAAGAGAAAAAACUCCUUCACAAAUGUGUUGAUGGCUGGACAUUGCAUCAUCCUAGAAAACAUGGAGGCCAGUGAGGACAAAAAUAAAAAGUUAUAAGACUUUUAAAUAUGUGGAUUUUAGGGUUAUAUUUGGCGCCCCCUAGAACCUAAACCGUGGGGUGCAGCGUCAUGAUUUGAAUAACUUUUAAUGGCCAUGGGGUGUAGAUCGGCCUGAGCAAAUGUGGUGCCGGUGGAACGAAAGCCUUCGGAGGAAUUAGCGAAAUUCCAAUGUGUGCGAAUCUGCAAAAAAUGCGAAAUAACCCUUUAACCGUACAUUUUACAGAUACGUGGCCAUUGACUUUUUCGAAGAUCUUAUUGAAAUACACGUGUAUGUAAAAUUUUGUGUCAAUACGACAAAACAUACAGGCGUAGCACUCAACAAUGUGUAUUUUCACCUUAGUGGACAAGAAAAAAUUGACUUUUUUCUCCUGCCAUGGGGGGGCGCUCUUUUGCCGAGUAAAAAUUCCUUCACAAAUGUGUUGAUGGCUGGACAUUGCAUCAUCCUAGAAAACUUGGAGGCCAGUGGGGACAAAAAUAAAAAGUUAUAAGACUUUUAAAUAUGUGGAUUUUACGGUUAUCUUUGGCGCCCCCUAGAACCUAAACCGUGGGGUGCAGCGUCAUGAUUUGAAUAACUUUUAAUGGCCAUGGGGUGUAGAUUGGCCUGAGCAAAUGUGGUGCCGGUGGAACGAAAGCCUUCGGAGGAGUUAGCGAAAUUCCAAUGUGUGCGGAUCGGCAAAAAAUGCGAAAUAACCCUUUAACCGUACAUUUUACAGAUACGCCCGCACUGACUUUUUUGUAGAUCUUAUUGAGAUACAUGUGUGUGUCAAUUUUUGUGUCAUUUUGCCAAAGCGUACAGGUGUUACACUCAACAAUGUGUAUUUUCACCUUAGGGGACAAGAAAAAAUGGACUUUUUUCUCCUGCCAUGGGGGGGCGCUCUUUUGGGGAGUCAAAAUUCCUUCACAAAUGUGUUGAUGGCUGGACAUUGCAUCAUCCUAGAAAACUUGGAGGCCAGUGAGGGCAAAAAUAAAAAGUUAUAAGACUUUUAAAUAUGUGGAUCUUAGGGUUAUCUUUGGCGCCCCCUAGAACCUAAACCGUGGGGUGCAGCGUCAUGAUUUGAAUAACUUUUAAUGGCCAUAGGGUGUAGAUUGGCCUGAGCAAAUGUGGUGCCGGUGGAACGAAAGCCUUCGGAGGAGUUAGCGAAAUUCCAAUGUGUGCGGAUCGGCAAAAAAUGCGAAAUAACCCUUUAACCGUACAUUUGACAGAUACGCCCGCACUGACUUUUUUGUAGAUCUUAUUGAGAUACAUGUGUGUGUCAAUUUUUGUGUCAUUUUGACAAAGCGUACCGGCGUGACAGUCAAUAGUGUGAAUUUUCACCUUAGGGGGCGCUAUGGAGCCAUUUUGCAUUUUCUUGUUUGGGCGACUAUGGAAUAUCAAAUUUUUCACCAGGCCCGGUCGUCCUGCCAAAUUUCAUGAGUUUUCGCCAGUGGGAAGUGGGCCAUUUUCCAGUUCAAAGGGGAGGAAAAAUAAUAACUAGGGCCCCGGUGGGGCACUGUCGGGCCCGAGCCGCGUUGCGCCGCCCCCAGCGCGACCGCCUCCCCCUCCCGAUCGCGUCACACUCAAGGUCCAAAGAUGGUGUGCGCACUUGUCUGUGGUCAUUUCCCAUUAUAAUGAAUGGGAGGCGCAGUUUCUACCAAAACACUCGCUGCAGACAAACUACAUGUCCUAUUUGAAAAAAGUCUGGACCAUGAGUGAGGGCACAAACACAGCUAGGAUAUAUCCAAACGGCAAGUUGCUCCUUGUUACGGUGUUGCCGGGAGAGUGAUGCGAUUGAGCCAUUGAGUGAUGGGCAGGAAAAACUUGACUGUUUCUCCUGCCAUGGGGGUUGGGGGAUGGGGGGGGGGAUGUGGAUUCUUUUAAGAAUGUGGAUAUUUGGGUCAUCUUUGGCGCCCCCUAGAACGUAAACCGUGGGGUGCAGCGUCAUGAUUUUUACAACUUUGAAUGACCAUGGGGUGUAGAUUGGCCUGAGCAAAUUUAGUGUCAGUGGGACGAAAGCCUUAGGAGGAGUUAGCCACAUUCCAAUGUGUGCGAAUCGGCAAAAAAUGCAAAAUAGCCCUUUAACCGUACAUUUGACAGAUACGCGCGCAUUGACUUUUUUGUAGAUCUUAUUGAGAUACAUGUGAUUGUCAAAUUUUGUGUCAAUAUGAUAAAGCGUACAGGCGUGACAGUCAAUAGUGUGAAUUUCCACCUUAGGGGACAAGAAAAAAUUGACUUUUUUCUCCUGCCAUGGGGGGGCGCUCUUUUGGGGAGUAAAAAUUCCUUCACAAAUGUGUUGAUGGCUGGACAUUGCAUCAUCCUAGAAAACUUGGAGGCCAGUGAGGACAAAAAUAAAAAGUUAUAAGACUUUUAAAUAUGUGGAUUUUAGGGUUAUCUUUGGCGCCCCCUAGAACCUAAACCGUGGGGUGCAGCGUCAUGAUUUGAAUAACUUUUAAUGGCCAUGGGGUGUAGAUUGGCCUGAGCAAAUGUGGUGCCGGUGGAACGAAAGCCUUCGGAGGAGUUAGCGAAAUUCCAAUGUGUGCGGAUCGGCAAAAAAUGCGAAAUAACCCUUUAACCGUACAUUUGACAGAUACGCCCGCACUGACUUUUUUGUAGAUCUUAUUGAGAUACAUGUGUGUGUCAAUUUUUGUGUCAUUUUGACAAAGCGUACAGGCGUGACAGUCAAUAGUGUGAAUUUUCACCUUAGGGGGCGCUAUGGAGCCAUUUUGCAUUUUCUUGUUUGGGCGACUUCGGAAUAUCAAAUUUUUCACCAGGCCCGGUCGUCCUGCCAAAUUUCAUGAGUUUUCGCCAGUGGGAAGUGGGCCAUUUUCCAGUUCAAAGGGGAGGAAAAAUAAUAAUAACAAAAGAAGGAAACUACAGGAACAAGAGGGCUCUCGCAGCUGCUUAGCAGCUACGCUCGGGCCCUAAUAAUAAUAACAAACUAGGGCCCCGGUGGGGCACUGUCGGGCCCGAGCCGCGUCGCGCCGCCCCUAGCGCGACCGCCUCCCCCUCCCGAUCGCGUCACACUCAAGGUCCAAAGAUGGUGUGCGCACUUGUCUGUGGUCAUUUCCCAUUAUAAUGAAUGGGAGGCGCAGUUUCUACCAAAACACUCGCUGCAGACAAACUUCAUGUCCUAUUUGAAAAAAGUCUGGACCAUGAGUGAGGGCACAAACACAGCUAUGAUAUAUCGAAAUGGCAGGUUGCUCCUCCUUACGGUGUUGCCUGGAGAGCGAUGCGAUUGAGCCAUUGAGCGAUGGGCAGGGUUAACUUGACUUUUUCUCCUGCCUUGGGGGGGGAUGUGGAUUCCUUUAAGAAUGUGGAUUUUUGGGUCAUCUUUGGCGCCCCCUAGAACGUAAACCGUGGGGUGCAGCGUCAUGAUUUUUACAACUUUGAAUGGCCAUGGGGUGUAGAUUGGCCUGAGCAAAUUUGGUGUCAGUGGGACGAAAGCCUUAGGAGGAGUUAGCCACAUUCCAAUGUGUGCGAAUCGGCAAAAAAUGCAAAAUAGCCCUUUAACCGUACAUUUGACAGAUACGCGCGCAUUGACUUUUUUGUAGAUCUUAUUGAGAUACAUAUGUGUGUCAAUUUUUGUGUCAAUAUGAUAAAGCGUACAGGCGUGACAGUCAAUAGUGUGAAUUUCCACCUUAGGGGACAAGAAAAAAUGGACUUUUUUCUCCUGCCAUGGGGGGGCGCUCUUUUGGGGAGUAAAAAUUCCUUCACAAAUGUGUUGAUGGCUGGACAUUGCAUCAUCCUAGAAAACUUGGAGGCCAGUGAGGACAAAAAUAAAAAGUUAUAAGACUUUUAAAUAUGUGGAUUUUAGGGUUAUCUUUGGCGCCCCCUAGAACCUAAACCGUGGGGUGCAGCGUCAUGAUUUGAAUAACUUUUAAUGGCCAUGGGGUGUAGAUUGGCCUGAGCAAAUGUGGUGCCGGUGGAACGAAAGCCUUCGGAGGAGUUAGCGAAAUUCCAAUGUGUGCGGAUCGGCAAAAAAUGCGGAAUAACCCUUUAACCGUACAUUUGACAGAUACGCGCGCAUUGACUUUUUCGUAGAUCUUAUUGAGAUACAUGUGUGUGUCAAUUUUUGUGUCAUUUUGCCAAAGCGUACAGGUGUUACACUCAACAAUGUGUAUUUUCACCUUAGGGGACAAGAAAAAAUGGACUUUUUUCUCCUGCCAUGGGGGGGCGCUCUUUUGGGGAGUAAAAAUUCCUUCACAAAUGUUUUGAUGGCUGGACAUUGCAUCAUCCUAGAAAACUUGGAGGCCAGUGAGGGCAAAAAUAAAAAGUUAUAAGACUUUUAAAUAUGUGGAUCUUAGGGUUAUCUUUGGCGCCCCCUAGAACCUAAACCGUGGGGUGCAGCGUCAUGAUUUGAAUAACUUUUAAUGGCCAUGGGGUGUAGAUUGGCCUGAGCAAAUGUGGUGCCGGUGGAACGAAAGCCUUCGGAGGAGUUAGCGAAAUUCCAAUGUGUGCGGAUCGGCAAAAAAUGCGAAAUAACCCUUUAACCGUACAUUUGACAGAUACGCCCGCACUGACUUUUUUGUAGAUCUUAUUGAGAUACAUGUGUGUGUCAAUUUUUGUGUCAUUUUGACAAAGCGUACAGGCGUGACAGUCAAUAGUGUGAAUUUUCACCUUAGGGGGCGCUAUGGAGCCAUUUUGCAUUUUCUUGUUUGGGCGACUUCGGAAUAUCAAAUUUUUCACCCGGCCCGGUCGUCCUGCCAAAUUUCCUGAGUUUUCGCCAGUGGGAAGUGGGCCAUUUUCCAGUUCAAAGGGGAGGAAAAAUAAUAACUAGGACCCCGUUGGGGCACUGGCGGGCCCGAGCUUCCCCCCCCCCAACGCGACCGCCUCCCCGUCCCAUUUGUGUCCUCUGGCCAUCGCCCUCUCUGGUAACGCCCAUCACUGCAAAGACCCUUUUCCUUCAUCGGCGUUUGCUGUUCUUCCUGCCAGUGCGUGUUGCUUUCACUUACACUUGCCACAGCCAGCCUCGUGAGUGCCUAGCCUAUUGGAUAUCACUGUCACCUACACAGGACAGUCAUUACCUUUCUAUUAAUACUUUGUGUUUUAAUUUCACAUUAAUUUCCAUAUUGUAUAAACGACUGGAAAAAACUUGAGCCCCUGCCCCUGUAUAAUCAUGUGCAUGUCUCUGUUCUAGCUCCAAGGUGAAUCUUCACUGCUCAUGUUCUCCUCAGAAGCACUCACCUCACUCCCCUCAGGUUACUGUACACAUGCACCAACUGCCUGCUUCAGGUUUGGAUGGAGCUUCAUGGUUGUCUUUUGGAGAAAUGACCAGUCAAGUUGUGUUUGAAAUUUGAUUUUUUUCAGGGGCAAAAGGAGCCUCUGCAUUCUUGUCAAAUAUGUAAAUAGCAUGUUUUUGCAGGUGCUAAAAACCAGACUCUGAGUGUGUGUGUGUGUGUGUGUGUGUGUGCGUGUGUGUCUGCGUGUGCGUUCAAGUCACAUGACAUAUUUAACCGGAUGUAGCUGCAAGACGGAGCCUCGUUGACUCUCCGUUUCAACUUAUCUCAAAAGUGAGGACCUCAACCUAUAUACCAGUUUUUAAAUUGUGUUGAUAGGCCAAAUAAAACCAGAGUUAUGAUAAAUUAUGUCCGCGAUACUUUUUUUCUGCUUAUUUUGAUCACGUUCGGCGCUCGAUCGCGCUGUAUGAGACAGGAAAACAUAGCAUGCAGACAUUAGCGACAGGUCUUACAGGCGGAAAAGGCUUGCCAAAAGAAAAAAAAAACACACCACAACAUCUCUCCUAUUGGUGGAAAACUUCACCACAACAACCAAUCCAAAAUUAUAUGGUGACUGAUUGACAAGGGGCGGGCGCUUACGUUCUUCCUGCAACAUGAGAAGCGAGGGAGGGACUCUCAGCAGGGAUGCAGUCUGGGACACGUAGUUGCAAACCUAGCGACUUUGUUGUUAGAUUCAAUGACUUUUCAGACCCCCUAACGACUUUUUUUUAGAAAGAAAGGGACUUUUAUCGACUUCUUCUGGAGUUUAGAGACUCUGACAUGAAGCAGGCUUUCCUUACUGAGGAGUUAGCAACGCUGCUAAGGGUGCAGAGCCACACAUGCGCUCAGAGCUCUGCAUGGGAGACUGAAGCUGACAGAGCUGCAGCAGUUAGCAGGUUUCACCCUCAGAGACCACCAGGGGUUCAUGUUGAGGCAUUUUAAUUUUUUUUUUUUUUGUGCCAUAGACACUGUCAGCACAAUCUGCAGUUACACUAACAAAAAUGCUGCAAAAAACAAAGAAUUAUGGAAAAAUUACACAUGGACUGACAUAGAGGAGGAUCUACACAAGUUUUUUACAUCAUGUUUUACAUCAUGCAUCAUUUACAUCAUGUUUUUUUGUAGUGGCAUAAAUAAAAAGUGACAUUUGUGAGACUAUACAGUGUUUUGUAAAUAAUUUUACAAAGAACGCCUGGGCCAUUGCCUGCAUUUUGAUGUAAAUAGAGGUAAAUAACUAUGUUCUUUGUUAAAAAUUUGCAUAUGUUUUGAAGUUUACAAUUUUUAUUUGAAGUUUAAGUUUUAAAAACAGUUCAUCACACAUAUUUGUGGUUUAAUUUCACAUUAAUUUCCAUAUUGUAUAAAUGACUGGAAAAAACUUGAGCCCCUGCCCCUGUAUAAUCAUGUGCACGUCCCUGUUCUAGCUCCAAGGUGAAUCUUCACUGCUCAUGUUCUCCUCAGAAAUAGUCACCUCACUCCCCUCAGGUUACUGUACACAUGCACCAACUAUCUGCUUCAGGUUUGAAAUGGAGCUUCAUGGCUGUCUUUUGGAGAAAUGAACAGUCAAGUUGUGUUUGAAAUUUGAUUUUUUUCAGGGGCAAAAGGAAGCCUCUGCAUUCUUGUCAAAUAUGUAAACAGCAUGUUUUUGCAGGUGCUAAAAAACAGACUCUGAGUGUGUGUGUGUGUCUGUGUGUGUGUGUGUGUGUGUGUGUGUGUAUGUUGGCGUGUGUGUAUAUGUGUGUGUAUCCUGCAGUACUCUGUACUCCUGCAGUGGCCAAAAAGACUUUUAAGAAUGUGGAUUUUUGGGUCAUCUUUGGCGCCCCCUAGAACUGCAGUACUCUGUACUCCUGCAGUGGCCAAAAUGACUUUUAAGAAUGUGGAUUUUUGGGUCAUCUUUGGCGCCCCCUAGAACGUAAACCGUGGGGUGCAGCGUCAUGAUUUUUACAACUUUGAAUGGGCAUGGGGUGUAGAUUGGCCUGAGCAAAUUUGGUAUCGGUGGGACGAAAGCCUUAGGAGGAGAUAGCCACAUUCCAAUGUGUGCGAAUCGGCAAAAAAUGCAAAAUAGCCCUUUAACCGUACAUUAUACAGAUACGCGCUCUUUGACUUUAUUGUAGAUCUAAUUGAGAUACACAUGAUUGUCAAUUUUUGUGUCAAUAUGACAAAGCGUUCAGGCGUGACACUCAACAAUGUGUAUUUUCAUGUAAGGGGACAAGAAAAAAUUGACUUUUUUCUCCUACCAUGGGGGGGCGCUCUUUUGGGGAGUAAAAAUUCCUUCACAAAUGUGUUGAUGGCUGGACAUUGCAUCAUCCUAGAAAACUUGGAGGCCAGUGAGGACAAAAAUAAAAAGUUAUAAAACAUUUAAGAAUGUGGAUUUUUGGGUUAUUUUUGGCGCCCCCUAGAACCUAAACCAUGGGGUGCAGCAUCAUGAUUUGAAUAACUUUUAAUGGGCAUGGGGUGUAGAUUGGCCUGAGCAAAUGUGGUGCCGGUGGAACGAAAGCCUUCGGAGGAGUUAGCGAAAUUCCAAUGUGUGCGUAUCGGCAAAAAAUGCGGAAUAACCCUUUAACUGUACAUUUGACAGAUACGCGCGCACGGACUUUUUUGUAGAUCUUAUUGAGUUACAUGUGUGUGUCAAUUUUUGUGUCAUUUUGCCAAAGCGUACAGGUGUUACACUCAACAAUGUGUAUUUUCACCUUAGGGGACAAGAAAAAAUGGACUUUUUUCUCCUGCCAUGGGGGGGCACUCUUUUGGGGAGUAAAAAUUCCUUCACAAAUGUGUUGAUGGCUGGACAUUGCAUCAUCCUAGAAAACUUGGAGGCCAGUGAGGACAAAAAUAAAAAGUUAUAAGACUUUUAAAUAUGUGGAUUUUAGGGUUAUCUUUGGCGCCCCCUAGAACCUAAACCGUGGGGUGCAGCGUCAUGAUUUGAAUAACUUUUAAUGGCCAUGGGGUGUAGAUUGGCCUGAGCAAAUGUGGUGCCGGUGGAACGAAAGCCUUCGGAGGAGUUAGCGAAAUUCCAAUGUGUACGGAUCGCCAAAAAAUGCGAAAUAACCCUUUAACCGUACAUUUGACAGAUACGCCCGCACUGACUUUUUUGUAGAUCUUAUUGAGAUACAUAUGUGUGUCAAUUUUUGUGUCAUUUUGACAAAGCGUACAGGCGUGACAGUCAAUAGUGUGAAUUUUCACCUUAGGGGGCGCUAUGGAGCCAUUUUGCAUUUUCUUGUUUGGGCGACUUCGGAAUAUCAAAUUUUUCACCAGGCCCGGUCGUCCUGCCAAAUUUCAUGAGUUUUCGCCAGUGGGAAGUGGGCCAUUUUCCAGUUUAAAGGGGAGGAAAAAUAAUAAUAAUAACAAAAGAAGGAAACAUGCAGGAACAAGAGGGCUCUCGCAGCUGCUUAGCAGCUACGCUCGGGCCCUAAUAACAAAAGAAGGAAACUACAGGAACAAGAGGGCUCUCGCAGCUGCUUAGCAGCUACGCUCGGGCCCUAACUAGGGCCCCGUUGGGGCACUGGCGGGCCCGAGCUGUGUCACGCCGCCCCCAACACGACCGCCUCUCCCUCCCGAUCGCGUCACACUCAAGGUUCAACGAUGGUGUGCGCACUUGUCUGUGGUCAUUUACCAUUAUAAUGAAUGGGAGGCGCAGUUUCUACCAAAACGCUUGCUGCAGACAAACUACAUGUCCUAUUUGAAAAAAGUCUGGACCAUGAGUGAGGGCACAAACACAGCUAGGAUAUAUCCAAAUGGCAAGUUCCUCCUCCUUUCGUUUUUUUCCGAGAGAGCGAUGUGUUUGAGCCAUUGAGCGAUGGGCAGGAAAAACUUGACUUUUUCUCCUGCCAUGGGGGGGCACUCUUUUAGGGAGAAAAAAUUCCUUCACAAAUGUGUUGAUGGCUAGACAUUGCAUCAUCCUAGAAAACUUUGAAGCCAGUGAGGACAAAAAUGAAAAGUUAUAAGACUUUUAAGAAUGUGGAUUUUUGGGUUAUCUUUGGCGACCCCUAGAACGUAAACCGUGGGGUGCAGCAUCAUGAUUUGUACAACUUUUAAUGGCCAUGGGGUGUAGAUUGGCCUGAGCAAAUUUGGUGCCGGUGGAACGAAAGCUUUAGGAGGAGUUAGCCACAUUCCAAUGUGUGCGAAUCAACCAAAAAUGCGAAAUAGCCCUUUAACCGUACAUUUUGCAGAUACGCGCGCAUUGACUUUUUCGUAGAUCUUAUUGAGAUACAUGUGUGUGUCAAAUUUUGUGUCAAUAUGACAAAGCGUACAGGCGUGACACUCAACAAUGUGUAUUUUCACCUUAUGGGACAAGAAAAAAUUUACUUUUUUCUCCUGCCAUGGGGGGGCGCUCUUUUGGGGAGUAAAAAUUCCUUCACAAAUGUGUUGAUGGCUGGACAUUGCAUCAUCCUAGAAAACUUGGAGGCCAGUGAGGACAAAAAUAAAAAGUUAUAAGACUUUUAAGAAUGUGGAUUUUUGGGUUAUCUUUGGCGCCCCCUAGAACCUAAACCGUGGGGUGCAGCGUCAUGAUUUGUACAACUUUUAAUGGCCAUGGGGUGUAGAUUGGCCUGAGCAAAUUUGGUGCCGGUGGAACGAAAGCCUUCGGAGGAGUUAGCGAAAUUCCAAUGUGUGCGGAUCGGCAAAAAAUGCGAAAUAGCCCUUUAACCGUACAUUAUACAGAUACGCGCUCUUUGACUUUUUCGUAGAUCUUAUUGAGAUACACGUGUGUGUCAAAUUUUGUGUCAAUAUGACAAAGCGUUCAGGCAUGACACUCAACAAUGUGUAUUUUCACCUUAGGGGACAAGAAAAAAUGGACUUUUUUCUCCUGCCAUGGGGGGGCGCUCUUUUGGGGAGUAAAAAUUUCUUCACAAAUGUGUUGAUGGCUGGACAUUGCAUCAUCCUAGAAAACUUGGAGGCCAGUGAGGACAAAAAUAAAAAGUUAUAAGACUUUUAAGACUGUGGAUUUUUGGGUUAUCUUUGGCGCCCCCUAGAAUGUAAACCGUGGGGUGCAGCGUCAUGAUUUGUACAACUUUUAAUGGCCAUGGGGUGUAGAUUGUCCUGAGAAAAUUUGUUGCCGGUGGAACGAAAGCCUUCGGAGGAGUUAGCGAAAUUCCAAUGUGUGCGGAUCGGCAAAAAAUGCGAAAUAGCCCUUUAACCGUACAUUUGACAGAUACGCCCGCACUGACUUUUUUGUAGAUCUUAUUGAGAUACACAUGUGUGUCAAAUUUUGUGUCAUUUUGACAAAGCGUACAGGCGUCAGGUGAGUUUUCACCAUAGGGGGCGCUAUGGAGCCAUUUUUCAUUUUUUUGUUUGGGCGACUUCAGAAUAUCGAAUUUUUCACCAGGCCCGGUCGUCCUGCCAAAUUUCCUGAGUUUUCGCCAGUGGGAAGUGGGCCAUUUUCCAGUUUAAAGCGGAGGAAAAAUAACGAAAGAAGAAUCCAUCAGGAACAAGAGGGCUCUCGCAGCUGCUUAGCAGCUACGCUCGGGCCCUAAAGAAGGAAACUACAGGAACAAGAGGGCUCUCGCAGCUGCUUAGCAGCUACGCUCGGGCCCUAAAGAAGAAUCCAUCAGGAAUAAUAGGGCUCUCGCAGCUGCUUAGCAGCUACGCUCGGGCCCUAACAAAGAAAAACCCCUUGGGGAAUAAUAGGGCUCUCGCAGCUGCUUAGCAGCUACGCUCGGGCCCUAAUAAUAACACUAGGGCCCCGUUGGGGCACUGGCGGGCCCGAGCUGUGCCCCCCCCCCCCCCCAACGCGCUGCCUCCCCGUCCCAUUCGCGUCCUCUGGCCAUCGUCCUCUCUGGUAACGCCCAUCACUGCAAAGACCCUUUUCCUUCAUCGGCGUUUGCUGUUCUUCCUGCCAGUGCGUGUGGCUUUCACUUGCACUUGCCACAGCCAGCCUCGUGAGUGCCUAGCCCAUUGGAUAUCACUGUCACCUACACAGGACAGUCAUUACCUUUCUAUUAAUACUUUGUUUUUUAAUUUCACAUUAAUUUCCAUAUUGUCUAAACGACUGGAAAAAACUUGAGCCCCUGCCCCUGUAUAAUCAUGUGCACGUCCCUGUUCUAGCUCCAAGGUGAAUCUUGACUGCUCAUGUUCUCCUCAGAAGCAGUCACCUCACUCCCCUCAGGUUACUGUACACAUGCACCAACUGCCUGCUUCAGGUUUGGAUGGAGCUUCAUGGUUGUCUUUUGGAGAAAUGAGCAGUCAAGUUGCGUUUGAAAUUUCAUUUUUUUCAGGGGCAAAAGGAAGUCUCUGCAUUGUUGUCAAAUAUGUAAAUAGCAUGUUUUUGCAGGUGCUGAAAAACAGACUCUGAGUGUGUAUGUGUGUGUGUGUGUGUGUGUGUGUGUGUGUGUGUGUGUGUGUGUGUGUGUGUGUGUGUGUGUGUGUGUCUGUGUGUGUGUGUGUCUGUGUGUGUGUAUCCUGCAGUACUCUGUACUCCUGCAGUGGCCAAAACGACUUUUAAGAAUGUGGAUAUUUGGGUCAUCUUUGGCGCCCCCUAGAACGUAAACCAUGGGGUGCAGCGGCAUGAUUUUUACAACUUUGAAUGGCCAUGGGGUGUAGAUUGGCCUGAGCAAAUUUGGUGUCAGUGGGACGAAAGCCUUAGGAGGAGUUAGCCACAUUCCAAUGUGUGCGAAUCGGCAAAAAAUGCAAAAUAGCCGUUUAGCCGUACAUUUUACAGAUACGCGCGCAUUGACUUUUUCGUAGAUCUUAUUGAGAUACACGUGUGUGUCAAAUUUUUUGUCAAUAUGACAAAGCGUACAGGCGUGACACUCAACAAUGUAAAUUUUCACCUUAGGGGACAAGAAAAAAUUGACUUUUUUGUCCUGCCAUGGGGGGGCGCUCUUUUGGGGAGUAAAAAUUCCUUCACAAAUGUGUUGAUGGCUGGACAUUGCAUCAUCCUAGAAAACUUGGAGGCCAGUGAGGACAAAAAUAAAAAGUUAUAAAACUUUUAAGAAUGUGGAUUUUUGCGUUAUUUUUGGUGCCCCCUAGAACCUAAACCAUGGGGUGCAGCAUCAUGAUUUGUACAACUUUGAAUGGCCAUGGAGUGUAGAUUGGCCUGAGCAAAUGUGGUGCCGGUGGAACGAAAGCCUUCGGAGGAGUUAGCGAAAUUCCAAUGUGUGCGGAUCGGCAAAAAAUGCGAAAUAACCCUUUAACCGUACAUUUGACAGAUACGCCCGCACUGACUUUUUUGUAGAUCUUAUUGAGAUACAUGUGUGUGUCAAU
rnacentral:lncRNA from 1 species